rnacentral:lncRNA from 1 species
GAAUUGCAGCCAUUUUUGGCAUUAGUGUGACAGCCAACAAUGAUAUCACAAAGAAUCCUAAGACAAAUGUGAAUAUCAUGUACAGUAGGAAAGUAACUUUCUCUAUUUUCAUUCAAUAUUGAUGGUCUGAACUUAAAGGACAUGUGAAACAUUUGAACUCCAAACUUCAGUUCACAUACAACAUAAAUUACAUACAAUUCUCCACAUCUUAUUUCACUAAGAUCAAAUACAUUCACAACUUCACUAGGCAUUACCAUAGGAUGUAGGGAUCGCAUGUCUGAUGAAGAAGCCCGACACCACUGUAACAACAAGCAAUCAUCACCGACGAAUUUCCCUCAUGAAAUGUCAUCAAGGAAGGUGGACAGCAAUAGCCCUUGAACAAACUCGCAUCUUUUUUCUUUUUCUUCCUUAUCCUUGACUGACAAGGUAGGUGUCUCCACUUUUCUGAACAGAAACAAUAGACACGUUUAGAAAACUAUAAGGUACAUGGAGACGGUUGAGAAUGCAUUCGUGUAUGCUGUCUGAAAACAUGUCAUUGGCAAGGAAGAACAACUCAUUCUUUUGCAACAAGGCACUGAGACGCGUUGAACAUCACAGAGAUGACAUACUUUUAAUGGCAUAAAAAGUUCAUAUUUUAAAGCAAGUAGAUAAAAUGGAAUGGCGGGAUAACCAAUAUUUAACUAUUUUUUAGACUAAUUAUAUGAAAAAUCUAUAAAACAUAUAUUGAAUAUAAAACCACACAAAUAAAAGAGGAAGAAGAGGAAUUGAAUCAUUAAAUGACUAUUAAAAAAAUAGAGCUAAUGAAAAACAGAUGUAAAAUCAAACCAGAUUUAUUUAUUUUAAGGGUAAAUCUGGGUUUUCACGUUCAAAACAGUUCAAACCCACUCGAACCGGAAAGCACCUAGCACCUAGCUCCCGCUACCCACUAAACAUCAAAUAGCGGAGGGCCGCUAUCCCGGGAUAGCGCCGCUAUCGGCUGCUAUCAAUAACUCUGCCUGAAUUUAACCUCUCAGAGGCUGUACAGUAUGCAGGGCCAAGCAGGGUUCCGGAUCCAUAAAAUCACGCAAUUUAUUAGGGAUGUGUGAGGGAGACAGUUCAAGUACACAAAAAUGGUCAACUAAACAUAUUUGUCUACAAUGCACAGCAACUGUCCAACAUGCUUUAUCUGCUAAAAUGAAACAUUCAUGAGUUUUUCAUUUAGCUUUUCAAAAACAUUUUUAUCAGACAACCUACCUCAGCAUAUCAAAAAUCUAUUAGCCUCCGGGAAAGCGGGAGAAGUAUUUAUGUACUACAAGUUCAAAUUUUCAUAUGUUCAGGGUUAGUGGUCAAGUAAUAUUCGAGACUGUCUUCAUCUUUGGAGGUACAAGAACUGUUGCAAGACACAGGAUUUACAGAAAAAUCUCCCAAUAAAAUUACGAGUAAUCAUAAUGAUCAUGCCAUUAGUUGUAAGGCGAAUUCUACGGUGCAAUAGGUAAAUAUGUUGUGUAUGUUGCACAACAUUUACUUGCUGUUGGAUCAGUCAAUCUCACUAAAUUUAUUGUAAACCUUACAUCCUGAAUUCCCCCCUCUCCCUCCCAUGACCCACCACCGCGAGACGUCGCUAACACCGGGAAUCUAAAACUCCUACCUCUGUUGCUGCAACAUGGACACAAUGAAGCAAACAAAAUUGUGAAGUAAAGAGCAAUGGAACUCUAGGUUAGGAACCCCAGUCUCACUAAAUUUACCAACACCUUUAGGUUGUCAAUCCCAACUCUGCACCUCAAGUUGCCGCUCAUGUACAUACAUUUGCGACUCCCUUCUUUGUUCGUGUUUCUAGUUGCGCCUCCAUUCUUGUUUCCGCCCGCAACCUCCAUUUAUGUAACCUAGCGCGGGGUCACCUCCAUCUGCCCACCAUUUGUAUCUGUUUUGUUUUUGUUUAUAAUCAUCCUCCAUGUUCACCUCCAUUUGAUGAUAAUCCUGUUUGUUGAUUUUGAUUUCAAUUUCGUUCUGUAAGACUUCUUAUUAUGGCAAUUAUGUUUCUAUCAUUUGUCAGUUAUGUUAUUUAUAUUUAGGAAUAAAUAGGGAAAGGAAGGGGGAAGUGCUUACUGGAUAGUUAUUGAGUGGCUAUGGGAGGGGACCAAGACUCUAGAAUUUAUUUUAGGGAAUUUUCUGGUAACCGCAUGCCAAUUUGUUCUUAGUGUCUUUAUGUUAGUAUUUUGUUUCAGUUUCUGGUGUGAUACUCUAUAAUUCCACUGUUCCUCUGUUUUAAUACAGAUUUCCAGGAUUCAAUUAUAAUAAAAUUGCUCUUUGCUUCUACAACAACGACCAAGCCUUAUCCCACUAAGUGAGGUUGACUACAUGGACCAAAUUUCGCCAUAAUGCUCUUUUCUUCUAAAUUUAUUAAUAUUGAUACCAGUUUCUAUCAUGUUCCUAUUCUUGAGUUGUUUCUGAGUUGAAAAGAAGUUAAUUCAUAUAUUGUUUCUUUCCUGUUUCGGUGGUGUUGUUGAUUGGCGAAAAACAAGGGGCAGCAUCACCAGAAUAGGAGCACCCUCUUUGCAAAUUCGUUGAAACUGAAAUAUAAGGAAGAAACCACUAUAUUUAUGUUACAUUUCAGUCAAUAUUAGAAUAAAAUUAGUGUUUGCUUCUCGCCGGUUCCGAUAUGCGUCUUGUGGUCGCCAACAUGAGGAGGACAUGUGACUGAGAGAAAGGGUGGGAAAGAUUUGAUGUUGAGAGUGUAUCAUCAAAUGUGGGGGGAUUUAUUGGUUCAGUAGUGGGAAGAAGGUGUGCCUGGUUAGGAUAAGCCUAGUUGUAAGGGUAGAAAUCAUUAAGCACCUAAGCUAGUUUUAUAAUCUCGACAAAACACAAGCCAUGCUACCUAAAACUGGCAUUAUUUGAUUUUAAACAAGAACAAUACCAUUUCUUCAAUGUCAAACAUGAGUCCAAAUUAUCAAAAGCAAUAUUGCAUGAAAAGCAGCAGAAGCGGACAAUGUGACAUCACCACCACAUUCAGGAAUACGAGCAAAAGUAAGCAUAUUUUCAUGAAAAGGUAGUGACCAUUUUUUUAAUAAAGAAAAGGAAAUUGACAACUGAAAUAGACAUACUUUUUUGAUAGAGUCUCAUCCGAGCUUUUUCUAGAUUGCCUUGUCCCGGUAGGAAAGUUGGGUUGACUUUGAGAACUGGAAAAUUCAUCAGCUACGGGCAAUAUAAACGAUGACAACAAUGGAUCAGGGGCUGCAUUAGACGAUGACAAUGUACAUGAAGACCCACCCAAAAGGGAUUGCAAAUUUCCUUCUCGCAGCUCCUUCCUCAAUAAAGACAGUGUUGAAUAAGAUCCACCUUUCCGUGAUUUCCUUUUUCGCUGCAUGUAUUCACUAGUUAAAGAAUUCAAUUUACGAUAUAAUGUUAAUAUCAACACAACACAAUAAUGUAAUAACAAUAGAGUUCUAAGAUAUAAUUAAACUGGAAACAUCUUCUAGUGCCAGUGUUAUGGUGUAAUUGAUUACAGAACUUUAAUCUUCCUUUAGAAACAUAAUCAUGUAUAUUCAACAAAGGCAACAGCAAAGGGUAGAAUAUAUAAGAUUAUAAACACACAUAAGUAGGGCAUGACUAGACUACACAGAUAUCUUAAACCAGUAAUCCAUUUAGAAAACGAUACAAUUGGCAAGUAUGUAAGAGGGUUGGGUUAAAGACUUUUGAUUAACCUUAACAAAAGUAUACUGUUGGAAAAAUGUUAUAGAAGAAAAAUAGUUCAAUUUCAUUUUAUGCUACAUAUCUCAAAAUGCUUAAAUAAUGAACCAGAAUUAACUUUGAAACUUGAAAGACAUGAUAGUAUACAAGAUCAUGCAAGAGUUGGCAGAAACGAAUAUUAACAAAAAGAGAAAAGGAUAUCUUAAGUAUGCUUCCAUGUUGUAGAGCAAUGUGUGCAACCAUAUCAACCCCCACCCUCAAUGCGCAAACAGGACAAACCUGAACAAAAGGAUAUAAAAAAUUAUAUAGAAUAAAUAAUGCAGGGUAAGAGUAAAAAAUACAUAUAUAAUUUUUCUGAUGUAGAACAGUAAUCACGAGUACUCCUUUAGUCCUUUUAGGUAGAGUACUCUUAAGAGUUAUCAAAUAUCGCCAUGGCAGAUAUCAGUGGCAGUUUUUGGGCUUGGUGCAAUGGCAAAUAUCAGCCAAUCUUGUGGGGGUUUUGCCAUAAUCCGUUAUGAAGGUGCCACAAAGCGGACGGUAUGGCGGAAUUUUAACUCUCCACCAUGGACCGCCAUCUGCCAUCAACAACACAGGAUACUCUAACUCUACAAACAAAUAAACCUAGAAAACUUCUGUGACUUGGUUUUAGACCCUCUUUAAAGGAAAUGAAAUAUGCAAAAGUCUGUCAAAUGUUAACAUAACUCAAAAUAGCCAAAUAUCCUAAUGAGACAGCGUAUUAUAAUCUAGCAUAACAUAACAUAAUCCAAAGCAGAACGAGUUCCCUAAAUAUCGAACAGUCCCAAAUGAAAAAACAAAAACAAUUAGCUUUAAAAUUAAUAAAAUGUUAAACAAACUUCAUUACCUAGCAGUACUCUUGAAGAUAUAACCCAUCAAUUUAAUCCCUAAACUAUCACUCUCUCCAAUUUAGUCCCUAAACCAUGUAAAUACAACAAGUCGUCCCUAGUCACUACAUCAAGAACAACAACCAAGUCAUAUCUCACUAAGUGGAAUAAUAAGUACUCCCUUCAUUUUUUAUUAUAAACAAAAACUCUACUUCUUAAAUUCAUUGAAUAACUGAUGUAUCUGAUCUAUAUAUAGUCCAGAUACAUCGGUUAUUGAAUGAAUUUAAAAAGUCUUCUUUCUUUUUUUGCUUAUAAGAAGAAAUGGAGGGAGUGGUCCCUAAAGUAUAUAAAAUCAUGUUAUUAAGAUGUCAGGGGACUAAAUUGGAGAGAGAGUGAUAAUUUAAGGAGUAAAACCUCAGUCCAAACCUAAACUCUCAACUCAAGGGUCUAAACUUGGUGCCGAGAACAAAGGGAUAAACUAACAAGCAGUUUAAAUUUUGAAGACAGCCAAGCUCUAAUUGAACAAUAUUUAUCUAGAUAAUGUGAAAAAUUGCUGAAUAGAAAUAGAUUGGAACGAUUUGAUACCCCAUUUUUGGCUUCAACAGGAUGCUCUUCAUCAAUGUGGCAGCACAAUCCAACAAUAUCAAAAUACUCAGAACAAAAGGGACAUAAAAACUCCUCCUUGACAUCAUCAUCAUCAUCGUCAAUAUCAUUUUCAUCAAAAGCAUCCAUAAACAUAUCUACAUUAACACACACAAAAUAGAAAAAAAUUGAGUGAGUGCAUGACAAAGAAAGUAAGAGUGGGGGAAGGGAAAAAGGGAAACCUGAUCGAGAUUGAAGAGCGGAGAGAUAGGAUUUGGAGGAAGUGAGGGUGGAAAAGGAAAGAAGAGCGUUCCAAGGAGAAGAAGAAUCAGAGUCCAUGAAUGAAAUUGGAUCUCAAUCUGAAAUGAAAGUGAAGAUUGAAGAUUGAAGAUUGAGAUUGAGGUGGUGCUGGUUGGUUCUGUUCUUCUUCGUAACUAAUUUCUGAGACAGACACAGCGACCCAAAAACACGUUCCUUUCUCCUCUCCUUUCUUAUAGCCCACCACUUUCUUUCAUUUUUUUAUUAAAUUUUCUUUAUGUUUAUUUAGAGAUAAUCAAAUAUACUCAUAUGUGAGUCUUAUUUAAUUUAUAAACUCUUGUUUAUUUUGGGUAAGUGUGAAAAAUUUUAUUGCAUUAAGAUAAAUUAUAUUAUACUUUUGUUGUUUUAAAAUUUGUUUUUGUCUAAAUCAUUGUGUUAAGAUAACAUAGUACUCUCCCUUUUGUCUUAUUUAUAACAAAAGUUUAUUUUUUUAAAUUUCUUAAAUACUUAAUACUUAAUGUAUUUAGUAUAUUAUAAUAAUUGUUUGAUAAAUAUAAAAACAAUAAUAAAUCAAUAACAACAAUCAAAUCUAAUUUCACUAAUCUUAAUAAUUUUUUUUAUAGUUUUUCUAAGUCUUUCUCUUCAUCUGAUUAUUUGACUUAUGUCCAUCUUAUAUACUCUCAUUACCACAAAAUCUACAUACCUCCUUACUACAUGUUGAAACCGCAUAAAUCUAUUUUUCACCAUAUUCUCUCUACUAUAUGUGCUACCCCGACAUUCUCUGUAAUAUUUUAUUCGAAUCAUAUCAUUUCUAGUCUUAUCACGCAUCCAACGCAACAUCUUCAUUUCCGUUACACUUACUUUAUUCUCGUGUUAAUUCUUAAGCGUUCAACAUUAUGUCUCGUACAACAUCGCAGGUCUUACUGCAGUCCGAUAAAAUUUUUUCUUCAGCUUGAGUGAUACCUUUGUGUCACAUAAAAUACUUAAAUUUGACGAUUUACAACCCCUUCUAUUUCUUCAUCAUUUUGUAUUACAAACCCAAAAUAUUUAAACCGUGUGACUUGAGGGAUGACGUGGUCUUCAACUUUCACCUCUAGAAUAGAAACACUUAGGGUCUGUUUGAAACACUUUUCAAUUUUAGUUCUUAAAAUUUGUUUUUCAAAUCUAUUUUAAAAAACUAUUUUAAAAAAGAAAAUUAAAAAAAAAAUUGUUUGAUAAACUAGUUUUUAGAAACUGUUUUAAAAAUAUGAAAAUGAAAAAACUUGUUUGAUAGUCUAAUUUUUUAAUAGUAUUUUAAGAAGAAAAUAAAAAUAUAUAUUUUAUCAUCUACUUUUAAAAUCUAUUCUUUUUAUAUAAAAUAUUAUAAAUUUAAGAAAAUUAAUUGAUAUUUGUUCGAAUACAAAUAAUUGGGUAAAAGCAAUUUUUUAAUUUUACAAAUCACAUAACAUUUGUUUGAUGAAUAUUUUUCUUUAUUUUUUUAUUACUAUUUUUAGUAACGUUUCUCUUAAAAAAAUAUGAAUUAAUUAUUUUUAAUAACUUUGAUAAUUUUUAAUAGUUUAAAAUUUUUGAAAAUAUAUAAAGUUGUAAUGACUAUGAAGAAUCUGAUAUAAAGUAUGAAGGAGAAACCAUUGUGUUAAAAAAAUAAUAAAACCAAAAAAAAAAAUUUAAUUAAAUUUAAAUAAAUUAUAAGAACAUUAAAAAAAGAAAAAAAUAGUAUUAAUAAGAUUUAGCUAUAUAAUAUUUCAAAGUCAAAAAGCUAAAUUCAAUGUUUUAGAAAUCGCAUUGGACCUGUCAAUUGAACCCGUCGAAUAAAAAAUCAAAGGGGUCAUUGGUAUGGUUCGAUUGGUGGAUCAAAUAACCUAUUAAUCAGUGAGAAUUGGCCAAACCAAUCAAAUCGGUAAAAGUUGAAGAAUCGACGAUUUUUAUAAAUCGACAGAUUAACUACUUUCUUUUUUUUCACAAAACACGACGCCGUUUUGAUAAAAAAAAAUUAAAAUAUAAAAAGAUUUUGCUUAAAACUUAAUUGGAACACCUUUCACCCCUUAAAUCUAAUUUGUCUAGACAAUGCAUUAUAUUAUUAUUCGAGAUUAUUUUAUUUAUAUUUUUAUUAUGUACUAUUUUGUUGUGUGCAAUGAUUAUGUUUAGAAUUUGAGUUUAAAGAAUGAAUUUGUUAAAUUAUGAUAUUUUAAAAUCUUGAAAAUUUAUAGGUGUCCUAAUUUUUUUAGAGACUGAAUCAUUUGGUUCGACCAAUUUAAUAACUAUACAUUUUCUUCAUGGAGACUAGUUUAUUCAACCGAAUUACCUAGAUUAAUCUGGUUUAAUCAUUCGGUUCGACCAAUGACAUAGUGGUUCGACCAAUAAAUUAGUGAUUCGGUACUCUUAUUGAUUUGAUGACCAAUCUAAUUUUCAAAUAAAUUAAGAAAUAUAAUAAUAAUAAUAAUAAUAAUAAUAAUAAUAAUAAUAAUAAUAAUAAUAAUAAUAAUAAUAAUAAUAAUAAUAAUAAUAAUAAAGUAAAAAAUGGGGUUGCACGUUUAAUAGAAAAAAAAGGUUAUAUAGUGAAAAUAAUUAAGAAACACAAAAAAAAAAACUAAAAUAAAUAAAUAUAUUUAAAAAUGUUACUUAUGCAUAAAAAAACAUACAUAAAUAAAAUAAAUAUCAUAUUCUUUCAAAUACGUUUUUCUAUCUUAUUUUAAAAAUACUAAAAAUUGAAAAGUAAAAAGCAAAAUACAACUAAGGUGUUUUACUUUUUUACUUUUAAAAACUGAAAAAUAGAAAAGAGUUUUUAAAAACACUUUUAUAAAACAUUAUAUUCAAACAAGUUUUUAAAUUUUAAAUUUUCAAAAACUAAAAAAGAGUUUUUGAGAUGUAUUUCAAACAGGCCCUUAUUCUUUUGUUGAACUUGCAUUCCAUAUACUUCAUCUCACUUCUACUUGGGCGAAAAUCAUGUGUUUUUAAAGCUUAUCUUCAACCUCUCAUUUACCUCCCCCUUUGACUCUUCAAGUAGGACUAUAUCAUCUGCAAAAAAACAUACAUCUCGGUGCUAGUCUUGGAUGUGUUAUGUGAGUACAUCCAAAAUUAAGAUAAAAAGGUAGGGCCUUAGGGUUGAACCUUGAUGUAAAUCUAGUGCAAUUGGGAAAACGUCUGUCUCCCCAUCUUGUGUCUGCACACUAGUCCAUACUCGUUCAUACUUAUUUUGAAUGGCUCGAAUAUAUGCAAUCAUAACCCAUUUCUUCUCUAGGAAUUUCCACAAAAAUCUCUCUAGGCACUCUAUCAUAGGUCUUCUCCAAGUCAAUAAAAAUUAAGUGCAAGUCUUGUUGGUCCAUCCGAUGCUACUCCAUCACACAUCUUAGUAGAUACAUCGCUUUCAUAGUCGAAAUUCCCGACAUAAAACCAAAUUGAUUUUCCGUGACUUGAGUCGCUUUUCUUAGUAUUUAUUUAAGCAUUCUUUCCCAUAACUUCAUGGCAUGACUCAUAAGCUUAAUCUCUCUAUAAUUUGCACAAUUUUGUAUAUACCCAUCCUUCUUAUAUAUUGAAACUAAAUUAUUUUUUCUUCAUUCAUCCACCAUUUCCUUUAACCUCAUAAUUUCAUUAAAGAGUUUGGUGAGUCACUCAAUAUAUAUCUCUCUCCAAGAAUUUUCCAUACUUCAAUAGGUAUAUUGUCUGGCUCAAUCGUCUUACUAUUACUCAUCAUUUUCAACGCCUUUUUACCUCUUGUUUUUUAUAUGACGAUAAUAAUCAUAGUUUUGGUCUUUUUGUCUAAUAACAAGUAUACUAGAGUCCAAUGAGAUAUCGUAUCAUUUUCUCUUGUUUCUCUUUAGCCACUUUUCUAAUAUCUUGAGUCAUCUUAUUCCACAUAUCAUUUACAUUUCCUUGUGGUUGUCCAAACUCUCCCUCCAAGAUCUUGUGUUGGAAACUUUCUUAUUUUUCACCCUUCAAAUGCCACCACUUAAUUUGUGGAACUCCCAUUUGACUUCUUCUUUUUUUCUCCAUUUUAUUCUUACAUCCAUAACCAAUACUCUAUGUUGGACAGUCAAGCUCUCUCCCGGAAUAACUUUAUAGUCCAAACAAAUCUUCCUAUAUAACUUCCUAAUAAGGAAGAAUAUUUUCUAAGAACAUGUCAUCCCAUUUUAUAUAUGAUAAGAUGAUCAUAUAUUUUCUUAAAUCAGGUAUUUGCUAUAGUAAGUACAAAAACUCUAAGAUGGAUUUACCUUCUGCAUUCACCUCCCCUAGACCAUACCUCUCAUGCACGCUCCUAAAACCUCUUGUUACGCUCCCUACACGAACAUUUAGAUCUCCUCCUAGAAAAAUAUUUUCUCCUUGUGAUAUAUCCUGAAGUAAGCCUUCUAAGUCCUCCAAAAACUUUACCUUAAGGUGCAGGGAAUGACAACCUAAGGUAACCUUCAUUAAGGAAUCACAUGGUAUAAAACUUUGGAUGUUUCAAUUUCAUUUGGAAAACUUAAUAAGAAUGAGAAUGAAUCGAAAAGAGUUGUCGCAGGUGAAGUCAAUACAAAAAAGAAAGUGAAAUUAAAAUAAGAAAAAUAGGACAUCUCCUUGAAAGCCUCAUCUUCCAAGGCAAGAAAAAUGGAGAAAUAUGAUGACGGUUCUGACAAAGAUUAUUCUAAGGAGGAAGAAAUGGGUUUAUUCAUCAAAAUUUAUAGUAGAUAUAUAAAGAAACGAUGUCUCAAGCAUUCAAACAAAAAUUUGAUUAACUUUAAUAAAUCUCAUCCACAUAAGAAAGAAGAAAAAAAAGGAAAAUAGUCAAGUUACUUAUUAUAAAUGUGCAAAAUUUGGUCAUUAUUGUACUAUGUGUCUAAGCCAAAGCAAGCGCAAUAACAAGAAAGAGUACUAUAAUCUGAAGAAAGUAUACAUGUUGGAAAAAUAUCACACUGCAAUAUAUAGGAUGGGAUAUGGCAAUGCUAGACACUAGUUUCUCAUUACAAAAUGAAUCCAUUCGAAGUACUUUAAGUUCAUAUCUGAUUUUUUCUUUUUCUUUUCUCUUAUAAUCUUGUGUCAUAGUAUUUUCAUAUGUAGUUAGACAUUUAUUUUAUAUAGCGUGGGUGUAUUGGGGAUUGUGUGGUGUUUGAGAGUAUUCUAUAAGUUGUAACAUUUUUAGGUAGUGUUAAUCUCUAGUUGUCAUUUGAUAACGACUAUGGGUUUUAUCCUAUUUUGAAGUUUUAACAUAACAUUAUUAUGUUGUAAAUGUGUUUUUUUAUAAUAUUUACAUGUAGUUUUAUAGAACUAUGUACUUAGAUGUAUAAUCAAGUAGUGAUCAAAACUCAUAUAUAAGCUAGAUAUGUCUAACCUUGAUGAUGUCAUGGUUUUGAUGAUCACACAUGUUAUUAGCAAUGCAUGAAGUCAAGCAAUGACUGAAGUUAGUUCGAGCAGUCAAAGAUGCACAAGAUGGUUGAUCAAUUUCUUCAUUCGAGUCAUGUUAAAGUAUUAGGGCUUAUGAUCAUCAAUGAUAUCCUUACAUCUCUCUGAUGAUGGUGACUGACUAGAAUAUACCUCAAGCCUCGUCCACAAGAAGAUUUUAGUGAAGUGAUUAUAUGAUUGGUAUAUUCGACAAAAGGACUAGAAGCAUUAAAGUGUGAAAGUUCUUUUGAUCGUGUCUGUCUAACUUAUUAGUGUAUUGUAAAGACACAAUGGCACUUUGGAAGCCUUUUUUUCAAAUUAAAUCGCUAAAAAAUGUUUUUGGAGCCUAGACAGUUGAUUUGGAAACGGUAAAAUUGAUUACGAUAAGUUUUUGAAUUGUCUAAUCAAUUAUAACAAGUAACUAAUCGAUUAGAUGAGGGAAAAACAAGUACAUAAUCGAUUAUGACAUCGUUUUAAUGAAUGAUAACGACUCUCUAUCAAAACCUUCCAACUUGGGCAACAAUAAUUGAUUAUGGCAUCGUCUUAAUGAAUGGUAACGAUUCUUUAUCAAAACCUUUCAAUUUAUGCAGAAAUAAUCGAUUAUUGAAUGUACCUAAUCAAUUAUCUAAUUGAUUAGGUCAUUUUUCCCAUGGAUUAUUUCCUAAAAUGAAUCAUAUCUUGGCCUAUAAAUAGAGGGUUUCCCCUUCAUUCCAAAACAUCCAGAUAAACAUGAAUAUCUCGCUUUUCCUAUUUGUCUCAAUCUCUCUACAAAUAUUUAAUUUUCUCUCACAUGUUUAGCCAUAGUGCUUUGACAGCGUUAUUGAGUUUAGUGGGAAAAUUGUUUUGAUAGAAGGGCAUUAUUAUAAAUUUAUCAAGAAUUCUUUUUUUCUCUUGAGUAAAUUAUUUUUCCUCAGGAAGUAACCUUUUUGGUUUGGAGUUAGUCUUGUGUAAGAUCUCAUUUAGAGAUUGGUAUAAGUCUCUAUUUAGUUCUUGAGCCCCGUCAUUGAAGAAAAACUCUCAUUUUGGGUUCGUGAAGAAUAACCAGAGAAAAAUCUUCACAACAGUUCUUGAGCUCAACUCAAUUAAAAUAUCUACAGAUUCGAGAUUAAUUAGGUAUAAAAUCCUUCCUUGGUUUUUUAUUUCAUUUGGUGUAAGAGCUUAGUAGGUUCGAGCUCAACCCGACAAAAACCUUGAUUCAGUUUAUGGUCAGUUUGUGUAAAACCUCGGUUCAGUUUGGAGAAUAGCCAACUCAAAAGUCCAACUUGGUUCGAGAUCAACUUGUGCAAAAUCUCGGUUUGACUUAGAGACUAACCGCUCGAAGCUUUGCUCGUUGUUUGGAGUAAAGAAUAACUUUUUCAUUCCUUUGUUUGUUGUUUGAUUAGAGGUUAGCCUGAAACUUCAUUUUAGUUGUAUAAGGGGAUUCAUAGGCUUAACCUACUAAAAUUUAUCAAGCAUUAUUGGAUACUCUUAAGAUCAGUUCUUAGGAGAGGAGUAAGUCACUUGCUUAAGAUCAAACCUCUAUAAAUCUCUAGUGUUAUCUCUCUUCCCUUAACUCUUUUACUUUCUGCUUAUUUUCUUUAUUUGUAUUUUUUGUUGUAUAUAUAAAUGGUCUUUAGAAAAUGUUUUCAAACUCUAAUUUGGAAAAUGAUUUUGCUUUAAACUAUCAUUUUUCAAACCUUCACAAUUCGCUACUUCUUGUAUAUGGAGUUACAUGCUCAACAAGUGGCACCAAAAUCUAACUCAUGUUUAAGGACUAAUCAUCUCAAGAGGAAAAUGACUUUUAACACUAUUUUUAACAAGAAGAAUUUCUUAAACACACCUUCACCAUUUAAUGGUAUUAGGAUUGGAUUAUGGAUUACGGGAUUAAAAAUAUUCAUUCAAAGUUUUGAUCCUAAAUUAUGAGAAACCAUAAUUAAUAGUCUGAUUAUCCCUACUCAGAACAUAAAUGGUAAAGUAGUAAAUAAACAAGAUUUUCUUUGGACCAUAGAGGAAAAGAGAAAGUUUGAAAUUGAUUUUAAAACUAAAAAUCUUUUAGUUAUGUCCUUAGAUGAAAUUCAAUUCUUUUAUGUUAGUAAUUGUAAACCCUCCCAGGAAAUGUGGUACACUCUUGAAAUCAUAUAUGGAGUUUCUACAAGUGUCAAGCAAGAGCGAAUGAACACACAAGGCGAAGAAGAUGAUUGCUCCAUUCAUAAGUGUUUUUCAAUUCUUAGAAAUUUCAGAAAUCAUACUAGAAACUUCGUGACUAACAUAUAUCUAAGAAUUAAGAAUUGGAAUAAAAAAUCCAAUCCAAUCCAUAAAUCGAGAGAUGAGAAUGUUUAUGAUUUUCAAGGAAAAUCCAAGAAGGAAGAAAUCAUCAAGAAAUUAAAUGAAUUGAUUCACCAUUUAAGGAUGAUUGCGUGAGCUCAAACCUAUAAGCGUCUCUAGCAACUUCAUCAACAAACUCCUUUAAAGAUAAAUCAAUGCCAAUAAUUUCCCUCAAAAGAAUAAUCUCAGUAGUUGAACGAUCCUCAGAGGAUUCAACAUCAAAUUAAGCAACUUCAUCAAGAAGAGAAUAUGAAAAAGAAGUUUUAUCUAGUGGAAUAUUCGAGAAAGAAAGGAUAAAUAAGACUCAUUGAGCAACAUAUCAAGAUACUAAAGAAGAAACUUCGAAGAAUCAACCUCUGAUAGAACCUUCAAAGAAUCUUCGUCCAACGAAGAAGAUGAAGUUUGUUUGAAAGCAUCUUACCGUGAAAAUGACCAUGAGGUAACAAAGUUAUCAUACAAGCAUUUGCUCAAAUUAAAUCUAAGUUAAUCGAAGAAAAUGAUAAUAUUCAGAAGCAUAACUUAGAUCUUAUAUAUUAUAUCGAGUUUCUAGAAAAUAGAAAUGAAACACUUAAGUGUGACUAAUAUUAGAAAUCUAGCUAGAACAUGUGAGACUUGUACCUCGACGAAAAAGGAAGUAAAAGAUUUGCAUGAAACCCUGAAUAAAUUUACUAAGGGGAAAUAAAACCUUAAAUUAAUACUAUCACGUCAAAGACUUUCCUUGAAUAAAAUUGGAUUAGAAUUUAAAUAUGGCAGAACACAUUGUAAAAGGUCAAAUAGGAAGAAAGUAAAUUGACCUGUCUAUAAAUGUUCUUAUUGUAAUAGACUUGGCCACUUAGAACUGUUUUAUUUUUAUAAAUUGAGAAUGUCUAAAGAUAAUAACCAUAUACAUCUUAGAAUUACUAACGCACUAGGACGCAAGAAAUUUAGGUACCAAAGGUAAAAGUCUAGUGUGUUUAUUCAGGAAUGCUUUACAACUUUAAUGAAGUUGUAGUGCCAUAUUAAAUGAACCAGUGCAAAGAAGAUAGUAUACUAUUGAGUAUACAUCAUUACCUAUUUGAAUUGAAGUUUGUGGUUAAAGGAUGCUUACUGAUGGUGUAUAUCAACGAUUAUGAUCAAAGAAAAUGUCCUUUGAGGAUGAUCUCAACAUCUCUGAUCUAUGAUGAUCAACUGACAUCUUAGUAAGUUAAGAAGAUAAUAUAAGUCUGUAGUGAAUAUAUCUAUCUUGUGUUUAACCAACUAUCAUUUUCAAUGAUUCGUAGAGAAGAUACGACAUUUUAUUCUCGUUUCCUCAAAAAUAAGAGUCUUUGUCAAAGUUACUUGAUAAUUAAGGCAGUACAUUGUUUAAAGGUUAAAUAAUAAUAAAAUAAUUAAACCUUUAAAUAAGUGAUUUUAUUUAUUUGCUCAUCAACAUAAAAUUUGUUUUACUAAUAAAAUAAAUGAGUAUAGCAUUUGUUAAGAAAUGAGUGCAUACAGAAUGAGCAAGAGUGUAAAAAUCAUAAGUGUCAAGGCAAGAUACAACCCAAGGCUAAAAAAUAACUAAGGAAGCCAAAAAUCAAAAGGUUAGUAGUUAAGUGACCUACAUGCUUCAAAUUUUAGACAAAUUUAAUUUAAUUUUUGCCUCUAAGCUAAUCAAUUAUGUGCAUUAAUGGAAAAUAUACAAAAAUUUGAAAAAUAUUAGGAUCUAAUCGAUUAGAUGUCCUAUUUUGGAAAAAAAUAUUCUCUCAUAUUUUCUAGGUUAGAUCUUCAAUGAUUUUGUGAUAUUCUUAUAUGCCCAAAACCAUCUGAAUGUUUGCUAUAAAUAGGUAAAUCUAUUCUCUUCUUUUUGUAUCUCAUUCUUUUUCUCUCUUCUUAUUUGUGUGUAUGAGAAUAUUACUUUAGUAUUCUGUAAUCAUCAUCAUGCCACCUAGGAGGCUAAGAUUUGCCUCUAACCCUUUCACCAUGAUUUCUCAUCUCAACAACAAGAAGGAAGAUUCUUUCUAGACUUUGUAAGCAAAACUAUCUUAGGAAUUCACAUUUUGGAUUCUGGAAUAAUUCAAGAGUGUGAACUCUUCUAGAUCUUUGAAGAUUUAAACUUAACAACAUUCAUCUACAACCCUCCAAAAAAGUGUACCCACCUUUAGCCAAGAUGCUCUUCUCAAAUCUCUACUUCACCAAUAGAAUAAUUUAUUCCAAUGUAAGAAAACAUAAAAUAUAUAUCCCUUUGGAAGUUUUUGCGAAUAUCUUUGAUCUUUCCCAUGAUUGACCUAUUUUCAUGCCAUAUGAACAAGACGACAACUUCAACUACAAAACUAAUGCCUCAUCGUAUCUAAAAAAUCUAAAAUCUCGGGUACUCUCUCCACUCACUCUAGGUUCUAUGCACCCUGACAUUCAUUUGAUCUAUUAUGUCACAUACUCUUUUCCAGAAAAAGCGACCUCAGUCACCUGACUAGGUCUGAUGUUGCAACUGUAUGGAUGAUUACAAAGAAAAUUGAAACUGAUGUUAACAGAAGUUACCGACAUCAAUAACAAUUGUUAACUGAAAAAAUUAAAAUCUCCAAAAUUAAAACAUUGAAAAGAGAAAUACAAUCAUCAAUAACUCGUAUCUAUAUUUUCUUCUCUUUCGUUUGAAAUCAAAACCACAACCCACGUAUAGAUCUCCAUCUUCUUCUUUGCUCAAAAUUCAAAUCACAAUCCACACCCAGUUCUCCAUCUUCUUCAGUUGAAAUCGAAAACACAAUCUAAGGGCAGAUAUUCAUCUUUUUCUUUGCAUAAUAUGAUUUUAAGAAGAAACACUAAGGAAAAGAGUGUAAAGAAACAGUGGGAGUAAACCAACAAAUCAGGAAAAAAGAUUAGCUAAAAUGGAAGAAGAAUCCUAGAAAAGUAAAAGCAAGAGAGUUGAGUUUGGAAAGUGAAAGUGGAAAAAUGAAUAGAAGGAACCAAUCAAUUGAGAAAUGAAAUUGAGGGAAAGUAAAAAUUUAAACUAUCCAAUGAAAGUGUGACACAUGACAAUGAAAUGGAUGAAGAAUAUUGGUUAAUUAGUCAAUUAUAGAUAAGGGUAUGAUUUAGUGUAAAUUAAUAUUGUGAAAAAAGAUAUUUUAGGGAGAAUAGUAGCAUUUUUCAAUUUUAGUUUGAUAGUUGAAGAGAGAAGACUUUGAUGAUAUCAUGGAUAUGGUUACCAACAAUUUACCUUCUUGAAAGGCUACGCUUUCCAACAAGUCAGACUAAGUUAUCCUUGCUAAGUUAAUUUUGAUUGCAAGUGUCUCAUAUUCCAUGCAAAUCCAAUAGCUACCAAAUCUAUUGGUCUUCUAACUUUUCUCAGAAACACCUACACAACUCCAAUAUUUUUCUUGCAAAAAGGAACUCCAACAUGGGACUCUAUUAUAAAAGCUCUUGCCAAUGGUUUUAAAUCCAAUAUUUGCAGUGGUAACACAAACUUCUGGUAUGAACCUUGGAUAAUUUGUUACUUUUUCUUUUUCUUUCCUCUUUAUUUUCUUUUAUGUAACAAAAAAAAUGUACUCAUAGUCAAUAGUAAAUAGAAUAAAUAUUGUAUUUAAAACAAAUACAUACUAUAUAUUUAGUUUGUUUAAAUUUAUGGUAGGAUAGGGAGAAUCAAAAUUUCUUUUUUGCAUGCUCCCUCACAUUUCCAUAAAUUAGGAUAGUCUUUGUCAGCUUUAAAUUAUCAAAAGGACAAUAAUGACAAACAUUUGUAUCUAAAUGUCGUGUGCAGUGUACUCGUAGUCCCUUUUAGUAUUUAGUGCAAUUGUGAUUGUCUUAUAUGUAACUUCCGUAUUGAUUCAAUAUAUUGUUCAGGAAAAGUUCAUCAACAAGCUUUCAUAGCUCAGUUGGUUAGAGCACCCGUUUAGUAAGCGGGAGGUCUUGAGUUCAACUCUCAAUGAAAGCAAAUUGUUUUAGUUUUUUCUUCAUAUUUCAGCCUUUAGCUUACCACUCUCAAAUCCAUUCAUUUUCAUUCCCCUGAAUGCUAUAUUGACCAAGCAAAUGAAAUUCUGUGUUGAAAAGCUUUGAGCUAGGUGAUCCAUAAACUAUAAACAGUUUAUUUUAAAAGAAAUCUUUUGGCUGAAAAUUUAUGGAAAGUUUCAUGAAAGUUCAAUUUUACUCCCUCUGUGUCUUGUUAAAUCCUGUAACAAGUAGCAGUUAGUAUUGAAGUGUAAUCCAUAUUUGAACAAUCUUAUUUAUCACUUUUAUCCACUAAAACCAAAUCAGUAAUAAUGUCAGUGCAAAGUAAAAGCUUAAGCAGUUGGUACAGUAUAGGGCAAUGAUAGUUCUAUUGAGAAUAAAAGUGUUCCUUUUCUUCUUCAAAUAUUGAGUUCACAAUUUGGUUACAAAUAAAUUUUUUGGUCACUUAUCAAUGUAAAAUACUACCAGAAAACUAUUUUGAAUUCUUCUUCUUCAUAUCAGCUUCUCUGAAUGAUUUUUCGACAAGGCCGGACAGGGUCAAUUUCAAAUCAUGGGUCAUCUUGUGAAGAAUCAACGAUAAUGUGUUCACAUCUACCAUGGCUCUGUGGGCUGAGCCAUCCACUUUAAUAUCAUAGAACUUGGUAAGGGCGUCAAGGGAUACUGAAGGAAGUUUUGUUCCUGUAAACAGAAAACAUUACGGCUUUCAUACAGAAACAGCAAGGACUUGUGUUAUGUGUGUGUGAGAGAUUGUUUGAUAAGCCUUUGAAACAAACAGAAAUGAACCUUUAGGCUUUAGUUGACGUGCUAAAGAAAGACUGUCCAGAAACAGCCAAUUCAGAGGAAUCGGUGUCGAACAUCGACGUAACUCGUUAAUGAUGAACGGUACAUCAAAAGUACGAGCAUUAUGAGCAACCCAUAACACGUAUCCCCCAGGUUUCUCACGGCUUUUAACGUAGCUUAAUAAUAUGGGAACCAGAUCUUCCAUCCUACAAAAAAAUCAUAAGAAUUAAAAAACAAUCAAUGAUUUCCUAUGCAAAACUAAUUAAAUAGUUCAAAUAGACUCAAUCAUCAAUGUCCACAAACAAUUCGGUUCAAGAUCGAGCUUUUUGAAGCAAGAUCGUAAAAAAAAACAUGCUGGACACUCACUGUGCAACCAUGACACAGAACUUGGUUACCUUCUUAUAGCUACACACUCACUGUGCAACCAUGCACAAUGACUAAAAAUGAACAACUUUGGAAGAAGAAAAUUUCAACAACCACAUCUGAAUAAGUUUUGAAACUGAUGAAUAUCUGAUUCCAAACUUCAAAUGCAGUCAUUAUAUGACAAACAUAUGGCAUCUGAUUCCAACACAUAGUAUUAGUACAUGGUUAAUAUAACUCUCUUCAACACCGUAAGUUAAUGUCUUAUCAGUUUAGACUGUGCCUAAUCAUGUUCUUUAGUCAUAUACAUCAACAACGAAAAACUAUUAUGAUUCUACCGACCCUCAUAUAUUGAUCUGACAAUUAUGUAUUCUCACUACAGUAGCAGCUAAUUAAAUCAGAACAAUGCUACACCCAUUUCACAGUGAAAGACGAUUAAUGGAGCAUAGGGAGGCUUCAACAAUGUGCAAUGAUUAAAUAACCAUCCAAAUACACUACAAAGUAUGGCAUUUUAUAUAACAGAAUGUGAGAUGAUAACAAAAGCAAAUUAAAAAUUGACCGAGUUCAAAUAAAUUCCAACUAUAAGAAUCCAACUACUUUAGCAUUGUCUAUUCAAAUAAAUUCCAGAUAUAAGUGAAGGCUGUGUUGUAAGGACAAAAUGGAAUACUUUAUUUUUUAAAGGUAAUCAUAAUCUCUAAGUGCCACAGAGAUAUAGGUUACCUCGGAACACCAGGUCUGUUCACCAUAUCUGUAGUAAUGCCAUGGAUUUUUGAGUUUUCAACACAGCAUUGAGGAUUUACAAGAGUUUCGAAAGUGCUGUUGGGACCACCCUGAAGAUCUCGAAGCGCAAUCUCAAUGAUCCUUUCUUUCUCUCGGUGAAGCCCGGUGGUCUCAAUAUCAAAAACAAUAACAGUGACUAAGCUAGACAAGUCUUUAUUCUGAGCUAACUCUUGUUGAAUGUUACAUUGCUGAAUUUCCUGAAAUUGACCGAGCUGUGUUUUAUUUACAUUUACAUUAGAGCUAGUUGAAACUGUUUCACUCAAAAUUUCUAGCUUGGUGCUUCUUGAUCUGGUGUCCGCGCUGCUUUCUGUGGUUGUAGUUAUCGGUCUUCGAGUCCACUUUUUUCUGUGGCCUCCCUGAAGUCCAUAAAUUCUAGAACCAAGCAACCUAACACUAUGAUUGUUUUGACAAAUGUUACCGAAGCUCUGGAACGUUUCACCCCAAUUAUUAGAUAAGCUGUGUAUUCUACAUCUAGGUACUUGCAAAAAGGAAAAAAUCAUGGAGCCAGUCUUCAUCUGAAAAUGAAUCCAAUAGUAACAACAACAACAACAACUAAGAAUAUUAUUUGAUCAACACUUCCUCAUCAAUUAAACAAUCAGCUACAACCUGAAAAGUAGAAGAAAAAAAAAGUUUGUGUGAAGACAAUAUACAAACAGUUAGUGUGCAUAUUGUAAAAAGAUAGAAAUAAGAUUUGAAAGAGAAGAGAAAGAAUAAGAGUUAGUUACCAUUGAGAUGGAAGUUGAGAAGAAAACAUUUGGAAGAAAUGGUUGAGAAUGAUUGGUAGUUAUAGUGAGAGAGAGAAGAGAGAGAGAGAGAGAGAACGUGCUGGGUUGAAGAACGUCGUAAGUUACGGAUCGUCUCUGGUUUCUUUUACUUUAAAAUUUCAUUUCUGUCCUUUCAUUUUUUUUCAUCACAUGGAUACCCUAAAAAAUAAGGGUGUGUAGUUUUCUGUACACCAUUUUUCUAUUAUGGUUAUGUUAGAUGAUUUUAUUUUUUGGUAUAGUUUUUUUUUGAAGUAAGAAUAUUCGUAUAAAAGAUCAUGUGUGAAGAAACGUGAGAUGAUGGGUUAUAUAAUUGUCUGUUGGUGCACACAAAAUAGUUACAUACGAACACGACUUUAACGAUGUUUUGGUUUAUUGAGAGGUAACGAAUCAUGUGCGACUAUGCCUUGCUUGAGAUGGUUGCGCACGUCUGGUUGAGUGGUUCAUAUUUAUUCGUUUCACCACUUAUAUCAUAAGGAUAUGCCAAAUUUCUUUUUAUAAUUUAACUUCUACGGGUAUGACCUUGUUAUUUAGGGACACACUAUAUAUGAGUUCACUAAAGAAUGAUUAAAAGGGUUUAUUUAGAAGUUAACAUCCCAAUACUUACAUGUCAAAAUAUGGAUCCUCUACUGCCUUUUUGUCUUUUUUUUCCUAAUCUAAUGUUCAAUUAAUGCAUAAAGGAAAAAUGAGAGUAUAAAAGAGACAAUAAAAAAGAUAAAUGUAUGGUUAAUAUUAGAGCUGAAUAAAAACAUUAAAGAAAGUGUCGAAGAGAAUCCAAAUAAAUGGUAAAUUUAUAGUAUUACUUUGAAAUAACAAUUUAUAGGAGAUUUCACAGGAGUUUUCACAAGAAAUUAUGCAAAUAAGUAGUUAACUUUCAAUAAUAUUAAGUGCAAAAAGAGUGCAUGCAUAGUUGUAGAAAAUGUAAAAUGUUAACGACAUUUGUAGAAUUUAUUGCGAAAAAUCUCAGGAUGCAACCGAAAGUGGCGAAGGGGCAUUUAAAAAAAAAUAUAUUAUAUGGUUUUAGAGCAAUAUACGCCAAGGUCCAUUAGAAUCAUUAAGGGGUUAUCUUGCCUGCUUUAACGAAGUCACAAUCAGGGUCGUCUCAUCAAAUUAAGAAAUGUUUGUGGGGGCGUUCCAAAAUGGACUUAAGGCGGGACACUUCAACGAGUCCCUCGCCCAUAAGUCAGCAUUGUCGUUCGCGAAAGUGGUCAUCAUAGUUGAGUGCUACAUAAAGGGCGAGGAAAUCAACGUCGAAAAGAAGACACGCGACAUCAAGGAGCAUGUUCCCAACGUCGAGAGCUCAUACCACUAGAGGAAGAGCAAUUAUACCUCGCCCAUAAAAGACAUGACUGCGUUCAAACUGGUAGGUGAGACAAUAAAGAACUUCACAACUCUGAACACUCUCCGUAAUCAGAUCUGGUGCGAGGUACUCCACCUGUAUAACAUCCCUACACCGCCUGCUCCUAAGACGGAUGUGAUGGGUUUUGAACCAGGAAGAUGAUGCAAGUUCCACGGGGUCAAAGGACAUCACACUAAGGACUGCUACCAUCUCAAAAAGGAAAUCGAAAGACUAAUACAAGAGGGACACCUCAAGAAAUAUGUGAAUGGAGACUCCUCCCGUUCGUUAGACAAAUCUUGCUCGCGUGGGCGAGACGACGCUAGAAGCCCCCGACCCAACAAAUCCAAAGAGACACCUUAUGGUGAUGACAACAAAGUUAUGCACCACACACUCAACCCCGUAGUAGGAGAGUUUGCUGGAGGCGGGGAAACUAGCUUCGCAAAAAAAAGGUACGUUUGCUAUAUCCUGAGUGGAGAAAACCUCAAAAUCCACAUUCGCCUUCUCGGAGAAAGAUGCAGUUGGCAUUCACCCUCAUAAUGAUGACUCCAUGGUCAUUAUCGUCAAAUGCGAAGACUGAGAGAUUAAAAGAGUUACCUUUGACCAAGGGAGUUAUGUAGACAUAUUAUACUGAGAGGCAUUUGAAAGAAUUCACCUCGGCCUAGAAGACCUAAAGCCCUUCAAAGGAUUGCUGGUUGGAUUCUCUGAAGAACGGGUAUAGGUAAAGUGAUAUAUCACCUUGAGAAUCACCUUUGGGGAAAAAGAUAAAGCCAAAAAGUUGAAGAGAUCAAAAGUUGAAGGUCCGAGAGGGAUCCCUUCCAGAGACAUCGGUGCAAUAGUCGUUUACUUUAUAAUUAUCGUUGAUUUACUUUAUUCUUUUUCAUAUGCGAGUAUUGUAUCUUUAGCGAUUGUAAGGAACAAAUUAUUUUGUAGGAUGCACUCUUUUUCCUUGCGUUUUGCCAUAAGAGGGAGGGGGUUUAAUGAGGCACCUCGCUCUUACUAUUUUAAAAUCCACAUGUUUUGAUGUUCCUUUCAUUGCAAGAAACUUGAAGAUCUAAGAUAAGAUUCCCAUAGGGGCGAUCAUAUUUCAUGGAUCCUUAAUUUGGGAUCCUUUCUGCCCAUAGAGACUUUCAUAUUUUCUCGAUCCUUAAUUGGGAUCCUUAUCACCCAUAGAAAAUAUCAUAUUCGUUGGAUCCUUAAUUGGGAUCCUUGUCGCCCAUAGAGGCGAUCAUAUUCGUUGGAUCCUUAAUUGGGAUCCUUGUUGUCUGUCAUACCCCAAAAUGUACCCUCCUUUUUCCCCUUUGCAUAGUUUAUUUGCAUACAUCAAAUUAUUUCAUGCAUGACCAUUGCAUUUGGUCAUGAGAUCACAAACAUGGCCACAUAUUGGUUUGUAUCUUAACAUUAGGUUUCAUCUGGUUUUUUGCUUGUCAACUAACCCUAACUUCAUUGAGAGGUGGUAUCUGGUUGUUCUUGUUUGCUCAUGCAGGUGAUCAUGGUCCAAAUCAUGGCAAGACAAAGGCCUUUUGAUCAAAGGAAAGGCAAGUUUGCUUCAUUGUGAUUCAAAGGUGGUUCAUGUGUUUAUUUCCAUGCCACAUCACUCAAUCUUCAAGCUAUUCUCAAUAUAACUUAAGCCCUAAUCAAUUUUUCAUCAAGGGAUGCUCAUUCCACCAUCAUUGUGGCUUGAAAUACAAGAAAAUAUCAUGUUGGCACAAAGGGGUACAAGUUGAUUUGACCUAACUUGCAAGUAUGUCAUGCCUUUGGUCCAAACUCCAUAAUUCCUUCCAUUUUUAUCCAAAUGCCAAGCUUCUUUGAGACAAAUGUGCCUUUUGAGAUCCUUUUAAACUUUGAUUCAAGGGUCAAACACCAAUUCAUUCAUUAAGGACCUCAUUUGUGCAAAGAACCAAGUUGCCAAAUGGGUCAAAACCUUGCCACGACCCAUACUUUCCACCCUUUCCCUUUUCAGCUCAAGGAUUCUUUUGAUCCCAUUCCUUGUUCAUCUUGUUAAGCUUAUGUAAAAGAUCAUUUGGACAAAUUUUGGCUCAAAAUGCACAAGGGAAUCAAAAGUUAUGGUGUCAUCAACUUGGGACCCCAAAAUGACCCAACAUGCCUCAAGGUACUUGACCAUUUGCCCAGCCUAAAACUCAGGUCACGACCUCAACCUCCCAAGCAUGUAACUUUCACCUCAAAUCUCCUUUGGACUUGGUUAUUUUUGUAUCAUGUUCUACUCCAUGAAGUGAUCAUUUGGCUCAAAGAAAAUUAGAAAAUUCAUGAGUGGAUUGGAAUUGGCCUAAGCAUGAACAUGGUGACCUAAACUUUUUUUUUGUACCGUGACCUAUAAUGUGGAAUCAUGCCAAAAUUAAAUUGGAACCACUUCUCAUGCGUGCAAACUUGUUUCCCAUGACCAAACACAUCUGACCAUAACAUAAAACGACUUGCAAAGCGCCAAAAUCACGAGUUUGGUGCCAAAGUUUCACAUGGUUUGGAUUUGAAAAUUCCUUAGUUGAUUCACACGAAUUCAGAUCCAAUUCACACUGUCAUACCCCCAAAUUUGCCCAUUAAUAUUACAAGGCAUUUCUCGAAGCACUCCGACUUAUUCUGCAAGGCACUAACCUUAAAGGAACAAAUGGCCAGCUCACAACGGACCCACUCCAGCAAAAGGGCCCAAACUAGCUCGCUCGCUAGGCGAGCAAUUCCUUCGCCUAGCGAACCCCUCGUUAUGACACUCGCCCCAGCGAAGCACCAGAUCCAGUAAAAGCCCAAACUAGCUUGCUCGCUAGGCGAGCACUCCUUCGCUAGGCGAAGCUUUGCGAAUAUCAGAUUUCUGGGCUUCAUUCAGAGCCCAUUAGGUCACAACAAGAGGUUAUAAAUAGCCAAGCUUCAGUCAGAAAAGGAGAGGACGAAAAACGGGAGAAAAAGAGGAAAACGGACGGAAACCCUGGCAUAGAAACCCUGGAGAUCAACUCAGAGUAAUUCUAAGUAAAGAAACCUUGAAAGCCGCUCAUCCGCGCCGAAGCUACCGCCGCCCAACUCCAUUCGAUACAAGCUCAGUUACAAACAGGUUUGCGUAUCACUAAUGUUUUAUUGCUUUUAUCGAUAAUCUUUACAUAUAUAAGGCAUCAUGAUUAAAUUUUCGGAUAUGCAAAUGAUUCCAUGUAUGAAUUUAAGUAUGCAUGAAUAUCCUGAAUGUUUGUCCAUGCUAUUCCCAUAAUAAAUGCCAUGAAGGUCAGGGUUCUGGAGAUCAUGUUGCUGUCAAACUCAAAUCCGUCGCCGCUCGCUAGCACGUCGCUAAGCGAGCCUAUAGCGAGCAUUCGCUGAGCCUUCGCCAGGCGAAGCAGACGCGAACGGGACAGUGGCUGCUUUGUUUCUUUUCUAUUAUGCCUUAUGUCUAUCUAACCAAGACUUAUUAUAAUUCUGCAUCAUUUGGCCUGAGAUUAUGACUGUUGUUGUUGUAGUGCAAUUUUCAAUUGUACUUUACUUUGAUGCUCUAACCCGUGUGUUGAAUUGUGCAAAGGUUUACAUAUUCCCGAGGAAACGGCCGGCUAGGUAUCCCACUUUAUGUGUGGGAGAUCCUUAUGGAGAUUCACCCUGAAUUACUCAAUUGAUUUUAAUGUAUUCAUUUUAUAGCGAAGAUCCACCCUAAUGGCUUAAUUGAUCUUAAUGUAUUGAUUUCAAUAUGGACCUAAUUACCUAAUUGAUUACGGCUAUCUAAGUAAUUACAACACAUUGCCUUUAAAUAAGUGAUCUUGAACCUCUCUUUGUUACCCCACGAUUUCGGUAUUACGGUCAUGUCCCGCGAAUAUGGGGAUACACUUAGCAAAGACCCUUCGGUUAAAUCAUCAUAAAAUAAAUCAUGGUCCCUCGGAUGUUGCCUGCGAAAUUUACGAUUUUGUCCCUCGAUGACCCUUCGGUGUAGCCUACGGUUAAAUGAUGAUCGUCCCUUCGAAUGCUAAGGUAUCCUUACAACUGUUGCCUUCAAUGACCUAUCGAUGACCUACAAUGACCCUUUUACAUCCAAAGGAUAAAACUACUUACUUCUCAAAUAGUAAGGACAGUUUUACCCUCAUAAGGAUAGGAAAUGCCCGGAAAGACCUCAAAUAGGUAUAACUCUUAAUUGCUUAUUCAACAAUUUAAAACUACUUUUCACACCUCACACUUUUCAAAACCUCCAUUAGAAAAUCACCACUUGGCAUAACAUUCGUACUAGAAUCAUUGUCAAGUUAUAUUUUUCUAAAUAACUUUCAAAACUAAACGAGUAACCACUUUGUAUACAUUCAUACGGAAACAUCAUUACAAAGUUAAAUUCUCUUCUUUUCAAAACAUCUUCUAAACAAUUCACCAACACUUUUCAGACAAAAAUAUAAGUGAUCCAGCAAUUAAGAGCCCAUGGAUAACCAUGGAUACAAAGGGUGCUAAUACCUUCCCUUUGUAUAAUGUACCUCCGAACCUAAGAAUCUAAAUAAGGUCUUUCCUGUUCUUUUCCGCCUUUCCUUAUGGGAUAAAAGAAAAGUCGGUGGCGACUCUUGCUAACCGCGACAUUGCGAUUAAAAAACACAUAAAGUCAGUUCACCGUGUGACAGAACUGGCGACUCUGCUGGGGAAUCUUAAAAAGAGAGGUUACCUUAANACUCAGAUACUGGCCUAAUGGAUGGCCCAUCUGCGCUCGAUACAGUUCAGCGACGAUCCAGUCUGGUAUUCAUCCCCAGCGAGUCACCCGCCUAAAUGGACGACUCAGUCCGCUAUUCAAUACGGUCUAGCGUAUAUCCAUUCUGAUCCCUUUCCACACACUAUAACAACUCCGACUCCCAGCCGAAGUCGAAGCAUAACGGAGACUCACGUAUAAGCGGUCUAGCGAAUGACCCGGUAGACACCCAUUCUCAGAUAUCGUCUAACGUACCGACGCGACUCUGACAGCUCUUCAUCAUCAAACUUCUGAUGGCAUCUUUAAGCCGCACUCCAUCAAGACCAACUUCGUUAACAAGCGCAAUUUGGGGGCAUUCUAGUGGUCUCAAUAAUCUUCCACCUCCAGACCACGAAUGGCGCACUUACCAUCCUAACUCUCUCGGUUCAAGAAUCUUGAACAGGGGCAGCUGUCAUACCCCAAAAUUUGCCCAUUAAUAUUACAAGGCAUUUCUCGAAGCACUCCGACUUAUUCUGCAAGGCACUAACCUUAAAGGAACAAAAGGCCAACUCACAACGGACCCACUCCAGCAAAAGGGCCCAAACUAGCUCGCUCGCUAGGCGAGCAAUUCCUUCGCCUAGCGAAACCCUCGUUAUGACACUCGCCCCAGCGAAGCACCAGAUCCAGUAAAAGCCCAAACUAGCUUGCUCGCUAGGCGAGCAACUCCUUCGCCUAGCGAAGCUUGCGAAUAUCAGAAUUUCUGGGAUUCAUUCAGAGCCCAUUAGGUCACAACAAGAGCGUUAUAAAUAGCCAAGCUUCAGUCAGAAAAAGGAGAGGACGAAAAACGGGAGAAAAAGAGGAAAACAGACGGAAACCCUGGCAUAGAAACCCUGGAGAUCAACUCAGAGUAUUCCGAGUAAAGAAACCUUGAAAGCCGCUCAUCCGCGCCGAAGCUACCGCCGCCCAACUCCAUUCGAUACCAAGCUCAGUUACUGAAAACGGAGGGGAAAAACAGAGGAAGACGGACGGAAACCCUGGCACAGAAACCCUGGAGGCUACUUUAGAGAGUUCCGAGUGAAGAAACCCGGAAGGCCGCUCCUCCGCUCCGAAGCUACCGCCGCCCAACUCCAUCCGAUACCAAAAGCGAUCAGUCUCUUCAACAUAGCAGCUUAGUUGCAAGCAGGUUUGCGCAUCACUAUUGUUUUAUGCUUUUAAGCGGUAAUCUCUAUAUACAUAAAGCAUCAUGAUUGAAGUUUCUAAUGUGUAAUUUGAUUUCACGUGCGAAUUUAAAUAUGCUUGAAUAUCAUAAGUGUUUGUCCAUGCUAUUCCUGUAAUCAAGUGCCAUACAAGUUCAGGUUUUCGGAGGCCAUGCUGCUGUCAAACUCCAAACCUGUGGCCGCUCGCUAGCACAUCGCUAAGCGAGCCUGUAGCGAGCAUUCGCUGAGCCUUCGCCAGGCGAAGCAGAGGCGAAUGGGACAGUGGCUGCUUUGUUUCUUUUCUAUUAUGCCUUAUGUCUAUCUAACCAAGACUUAUUAUAAUUCUGCAUCAUUUGGCCUGAGAUUAUGACUGUUGUGUUGUUCACGUUAAAAGUUAACAUGAUUACUUUGAUGCUCUAACCCGUGUGUUGAAUUGUGCAAAGGUUUACAUAUUCCCGAGGAAACGGCCGGCUAGGUAUCCCACUUUAUGUGUGGGAGAUCCUCAUGGAAAUUCACCCUGAAUUACUCAAUUGAUUUUAAUGUAUUCAUUUCAUGGCGAAGAUCCACCCUAAUGGCUUAAUGGAUCUUAAUGUAUUGAUUUUAAUAUGGACCUAAUUACCUAAUUGAUUACGGCUAUCUAAGUAAUUACAACACAUUGCCUUUAAAUAAGUGAUCUUGGACCUCUCUUUGUGACCCCACGAUUUCGGUAUUACGGUCAUGUCCCGCGAAUAUGGGGAUACACUUAGCAAAGACCCUUCGUUUAAAUCAUCAUAGUCCCUCGAAUGUUGCCUUUGUCCCUCGAUGAUCCUUCGGUGUAGCCUACGGUUAAAUGAUGAUCGUCCCUUCGAAUGCUAAGGUAUCCUUACAACUGUUGCCUUCAAUGACCUAUCGAUGACCCUACAAUGACCCUUUUACAUUAUGAUGAUCGUCCCUUCGAAUGCUAAGGUAUCCUUACAACUGUUGCCUUCAAUGACCUAUCGAUGACCCUACGAUGACCCUUAAACAUCCAAAGGUUAAAAUUACUUACUUCUCAAUAGUAAGGACAGUUUUACCCUCAUAAGGAUAGGAAACGCUCAUAACGACCUUAGGAAGGUAUAACUCUCAAUUGCUGGAUCAUAGCCUAAAACAUUUCCCACCCCUCACACUUUGCAAAUCCUAGAAAAUCACCACUUGGUACACAUUCAUACUAGAAUCAUUACCAAGUUAUAUUUUUCUAAACUGUUUUUCAAAAUCAAACGAGAUAAAUACUUUGUAUACAUUCAUACGAGAAUCAUUACAAAGUUAAACUCUCUUUUCGAAACAUUUCUAAACAAUUCACCAACACUUUUCAGACAAAAAUAUAAGUGAUCCAGCAAUUAAGAGCCCAUGGAUAACCAUGGAUACAAAGGGUGCUAAUACCUUCCCUUUGUAUAAUGUACCUCCCGAACCCCCCCAGCAGAGUCGCCAGUUCUGUCAACGGUGAACUGACUUUAUGUGUUUUUAAUCGCAAUGUCGCGGUUAGCAAGAGUCGCCACCGACUUUUCUUUUAUCCAUAAGGAAAGGGGAAAGAACAGGAAAGACCUUAAUUUAGAUUCUUAGGUUCGNACGCGGACGCCAAAUUUUUCCUCAACUAAACAUGAGGAACAUCAGGACAUCCCAAGCGUCACAUUACCGUAGCCAUCAUUUUGACCAUUCCAGAUUACGCCGGAUAGUCGCGAUGAUCAUUGCUACUUACCUAGGUACACUAGAUCGCGGUGUAGGAUCUUUCACUCCAAGCAUAAAAUACCCAAGCAAUCCUUAAAAGAAUAGACCAAAUUUAUAAGUGACUUUUUUUUAAGGUAACCUCUCUUUAAGUUUCCCCAGCAGAGUCGCCAGUUCUGUCAACGGUGAACUGACUUUAUGUGUUUUUUUAUCGCAAUGUCGCGGUUAGCAAGAGUCGCCACCGACUUUUCUUUUAUCCAAUAAGGAAAGGUGGAAAGAACAGGAAAGACCUUAUUAGAUUCUUGGGUUCGGGAGGUACAUUAUACAAAGGGAAGGUUUAGCACCCUUUGUAUCCAUGGUUAUCCAUGGGCUCUUAAUUGCUGGAUCACUUAUUUUGUCGAAAAGUGUUUGUGAAUUGUUAAAAUGUUUGAAAAAGAGAGUUAACUUUGUAAUGAUUCUUGUAUGAAUGUAUACAAAGUAUUUAUCUCGUUUGAUUGAAAACGUUUAGAAAAAUAUAACUUGUAAUGAUUCUAGUACGAAUGUAUGACCAAGUGGUGAUUUUCUAGAGUUUUGCAAAGUGUGAGGUUGAAAAAGUUAUUAUAAUUUGAUUAGCAUUAAGAGUUAUACCUACCCAGUCUUAUCGGGCAUUUCCUAUCCUUAUGAGGGUAAAACUGUCCUUACUAUUGAGAAGUAAGUAGUUUUCCUUUGGAUGUAUAAGGGUCAUUGUAGGGUCAUCGAUGGUCAUUGAAGGCAACAGUUGUAAGGAUACCUUAGCAUUCGAAGGACGACUCAUCAUUUAACCGUAGGCUACACCGAAGGGUCAUCGAGGGACAAAAUCUAUAUUCGAAGGCAACAUCGAGGGCUGAUUUAUUUUAGGGACAUGAUGAUUUAACGAAGGGUCUUUGCUAAGUGUAUCCCCACAUUCGCGGGACAGACCUAAUACCGUAAUCGUAAAGCAACAAAGAGAGGUCAAGAUCCACUAUUAAAAGGCAAAGUAAUAUUACCGAAUCAAUUACGGUAAUUAGGUCCCAAUUAAAAUAUACAUUAAGAUCAAUUAAGCAUUAGGGGUGGAUCUUGCAUAAAUUAAUACAUUAAAAUCAAUUGAGUUAAUUCAGGCGGGUGAAUCUCCAUAAGGGUAUCCCACACAAUAAAGUGGAAUACCUAAUCCAGCUAUUGCCUGGCGAUAUGUGACUGUACAAACUUUACAACAAUAACAUGUCAGGAACAUCACGGCUGUAGACUCAAGAGGUCUCCCAAAAUAAUUAAAGAUUGCACUGCAACACCGUCAAAUCUAGGCAAGAUCGCAGGAAUAUGUAUGCCAAUGUAGAUAGCAAAGCAGAGUGAAAAAUGAACAAAGCAAGCCAACUACUGUCCGUUCGCCUCCUGCUCGCCCUAACGAAGGCUACGGCGAAAUAGCUCGCUCGCGCUCGCUUAGCGAUUGAGUGCUAGGGCGGCAGCGGCGCGUUUGAUUUUGAGUCAGCUUGACCAUUUCGAAAACCCUAACUAGUGUUAUGGCAUUUGAUAGAUACCAUGACACAUUAUGAUAGGUUCAAUCAUUUAAGCUGGAUGAAAUCCAAAUUACAGAUUUGCAAACUUAAUAGCAUAUUUAGAGUAAUCAGAAUAUACUGAAAUUAAAAGCAUAAAGCAAGUAGAUAGCAUGGCAGUAAACCUGUGGUUGCACAAUGCUAAUGAGAGACUGGAUAUCGGUAUCGGAUGAGUUGCGCGGUCGAGAGGAGGGUACUUGGCGCCGAGUUUCAGGUUUGCUUUCGUUGGGAAUUCUAGUAGGCCUCUUGCUUGCCUAGGGUUCUCGUCUUUCCUGUCUGUUGUGUUCCUUUUCGUAACUGAAAGCUGUGGUAUUUUAUGCUCGAUUGUGGUGACCUAAUGGCUCAAGAAUGAAGACCCAAAAUUCUGAUAUUCGCAAGCUUCGCUUAGCGAAGGACGUGUGUACAAGUAUGGGUUCUGGAACUGGGCUUUCGGGCGAGGCAAGGGAUUCUAGGGAGGGAUUGCUCGCCUAGCGAGCAGGCCAGAUUUGCAGGCCAUUUUCUGGAUUGGGUCUGUUGUGAGCUGAGGUUUGUUCUUUUAAGUCAUUGGUCCUUCAGACCAUAAGUUGGAGUGCUUCGAAGAAAAUGUUUUGCAGAUUAAUGGCAAAUUUUGGGGUAUGACACUGUCGCAUCUCGAAAAAUACGAGUUCUCAUGAUGCGUCGCGGAAAAUGGUAUUUCGAACAGAGUCGCCACCGAACUUUUAUUUAUCCCAAUGAAGAAUAGGAAAUAUCGAUAAAAACCUUUAGCAAAUGGAAUAAUGGUCAUCGCAACCAUAUUCGGGGUUCAGGGUGGAUUAAGUAAGGGGAAGGUAUUAGCACCCCUUAUGUCCGUUGUACUCAACGAGACCUUUUAGUUGCUAAUUUGUGUCGAGUAUUAAUUAUGUUGUGUGUUAUCUUUGGUUACUUAAAUGUUGGAAAAGAGAAAUAAAAAAGGAUGAAAACCUCAUAAAGGAGAAAGGAGUUUUUAUUAGUGUGUCGCGAAGAUACAACAAUCUCUGCCUACGUAUCCUUAAAUAAGGGAAAGCAAGAGCAUUCGUAGUUCAGGGAACUACGAUUUUGUUGGGUUUUUUAACAAACAACUGUUUAGAUCGCAUCACUAAAGCUAAACGUUAACUUGUCUACUCUCGGUGGAGCUUAAGCACUGGUUUGUGUGCGCAAUCAGAAAAAAUUAAAUAAUCGUUCUUUGGAAAAGAGUUUGCACACCGAGCGGUGGCAAGUUUGAGUUGAGUUUUUGAUUGGUUUCGAUCUGGUUGGAUGACGAGUUACUCGGCUAGUCGAGUAAGAAACUCGUUAUCCCAAUUAGGUCGGGGAAAUGGAAUAGAAGACUCUAGGACACUUUCUUUUUCAUCCUAUUAUAGAACGGAUUGAUAAUUGAAGCGAGAUUUGCGUCCAAAAACGCAGCGGCAAAUAUAAAAUUUUCUCUUUAGAGAUCCUUACGAAUGGUCAUGAUCAGUGAGAAAUUUUACCUCUUGUGACGGUUGAAACCUUUGUGCAAAUCAUCUGUGACGAUCAAAACCUUUGAUGCCAGAUCCACGAAGCGAUCACGAACGUUGAACGAUGACAACGUCUCUACUACAGUCACACGAACGGAUUCCUUCAAUCUCAGUGCUAGCUGCGUACGAGGAGGCUUGCAGUGGAGAGAGAGAGAGCAGAGUGAGAAAACGAAGAUGCAACCCCCAAAAAUUUUUGCUUCUGCACAAGGUUCUAUUUAUAGCAACCACUUGUGUGGCUUCAAGCGCUAAAAGCCCACUUAAGUGGUAUUUUGGCCAUAUCUUAAUAAUAUGCCAAAAUCACUUAAGCUCAUGGUACCUUACCAUAUUUUGUAUUGCUACUCAAGACAUCGUACCGGUACGAUGCCUCUAACUCACUUCAAGGCACGUGCCUUACGCUAUUCCUUAGUUACUCUAUUCUCUCAUCACUCCGUCCUUUGGUUGGACCCCUGUAGGUUUUCGUGACGUUGGGCCAAUAUAUUAAAUCACGCAUUUAAAAAUAAUAAACAGGAGCGGUAUCUACAACACAUCACUGCUAACCCAAACACGAAAAUGUCAUGUGAUCUGGACAAUUCCUUCUGUGAUAAUACUUAUGUGUUAAUUACCCUUUGCCUUAUGCUCUAUAUUGAACACAAGCAUAGACCGUGUCGAUCCUUGUCCAGUUCAAUAUUGGGCCCAUAGACAUUUAUCCUGUUAAUGCAGGAUGGGCCAAUUCCAUCUAUUUUUUUUUUUUUUUUUUUUUUUUUUUUUGGUCCACUCAUGUCCUCACAUGCUUUGUGGAGUACCCAUAUGUUUACUUGAGGAAAAAUUUGGCUUCCGCGUGGUGUCAUCAAAGUAUUAACCAGACCUUUAGAACCCUAAUUGACUCAUCCUAGCCAUUAGAAAGUAGUGAGAUAACUGACUUCGGUUCCGACUGAGGUUGGUUGAGACUCGAUACUACACUCUUUGCGAUUGGACUUUAGGGAAGCUUCGGUCAACCACUUGGUGUUGCACUGAAGUGGACUUAAAGAAAGGUCAAUGAUUUGAGAUCCUUCUAGAACCCGGUUACUACUCUAGGACAGGUUGAACUAACCAAACUUCAGUGGGGAGGGUACUUACCUAUGGAAUUCAUGCAAGCCUUAAAACUUAGGAAUGAUUGUUGUGUGACUUGUUUGCGCUUGUUAUUUAUUUAACAUCAUAACAUCAUAACAUCAUAACAUCAUAACAUAUGGCAUUGUACUAACCAUUUCAAGGACUUAGGGAUUUAACUUUGCUCUGUUUUGUAAGGCUAUGGCUUCCAGGAAGACCAUCCGGAUCAAUUUUGUAGCGAUCUCUCCUCAACUAAAGGAUUUAGUGUCAGAACUUCCUGAUCGGGCUCAGUUUAUCCAGAAACAUGGUUCUCUCCUCAACUUGGUUACCACUGGCUUCAAAGAGGAUAUGAUGAGGGUCCUAUUCCAGUUCUUCGAUCCUAAACAUCAUUGCUUCACCUUCCCAGAUUAUCAGUUGGUACCCACAUUAGAAGAAUUCUCCAGGAUGCUUGGGAUACCUAUCCUUGAUGAGGGUCCUAUUCCAGUUCUUCGAUCCUAAACAUCAUUGCUUCACCUUCCCAGAUUAUCAGUUGGUACCCACAUUAGAAGAAUUCUCCAGGAUGCUUGGGAUACCUAUCCUUGAUCAAACACCGUUCAGUGGUUUAGAAAAGAUUCCGAAGUCUGAAGAAGUUGCCGCGGCUUUACACAUGACAAAGUCAGAUAUUGAAACCAACUGGGUAGCAAGAAGUGGAGUUAAGGGCUUACUUGCCAAAUUUCUGAUAAAUAAGGCCCGAGGAUUCUUAAAGGAUAUGAAUGUCCAUGCUUUCGAAGAUGUUCUAGCAUUACUAAUCUAUGGUUUGGUGUUAUUUCCUAACCCAGACCAAUUCGUAGAUAUGAAUGCUAUUAAGAUAUUUCUCACUUAUAACCCUGUGCCUACCUUGCUCGGAGACAUUCUGCAUUCCCUUCACACUCGUACUAUGAAAAGGCAAAGGACUCUCAUGUGCUGCAUACCUCUAUUGUCUAGGUGGUUUAUUUCACACCUUCCUCAAUCAGUCUUGAAGAAUGAGCAAAAUCUGAAAUGGUCUCAAAGGAUAAUGUCACUCUCCCAUUCAGACAUCCGUUGGUGUCCUCAUCUCGAAGGAAAUGUUACCCUCAUUGACCGUUGUGGAGAAUUCUCUAAUGUACCACUCCUGGGAAUAAGAGGAGGUAUUACUUAUAACCCAGCUUUAGCCCUACGCCAGUUUGGUUAUGCUCGAAGAGAUGGUCCACAUGAAAUAAUUAUCCAAGGCGCUGUGUUUGACUAUGACACCGAUUCUCAAGAUCUCCGUCAAAAGUUUGUACGAGCUUGGGGCAUGGUGAAAAGAAGUACUUUAGGGAAGAAAAACUCUAUUCCUAUGGAGCCUUAUCUCAGAUGGGUACGCGCCAGAGCUCGCGAACUUGGCAUGCCAUACCUUGCAGUGGGAUCGCUGAUUGUUGAACCAGAAGCUGAAGGAGGUACUUCUCAGAUCAUUCCUUAUCCAGAUAUGCCCACCGAUGUUGAGGAAUUGAAGAGAUCCUGGAUCCAGUUGAGAGAGGAAAGGGAUACUUUCGAGACUCAGUUUGUUGCAGAAAGGAAGAAAGUGUUAGAGCUCACCAGCCAGCUUAAUGAGGAACGAAGACUCAAUACAUAUCUUCGCCCAAAAAGAAGCCGUCCCUGGAGACUUGAGCUUUCAUUGGUAUUUUCUAUUAUUAUUUUUGUAAUGAGCAUUGAUUAAAGAAAUUAGUAAUAAAAGUUCCUCUCUUUUUGGUAGUUUACGCAAAGUUAAAUUCCAAAAGUCCUUGAAAACAUUUCAUACAUUGCAUAGCAUAACAUAACAUUGCAUAACAGGUAUUCUAAAAGAUCAAUGUUCUUACGGUCUUCCCUCUGAACAGAAAAAUGGAUCUCGAACAAACUGUCAAAGAUCUCCAGACUCAGAAUGCUCAAUUCCAGGAGAUGAUGCUGAGCUUAUCCAAAGGGCAGGAGGAACUGAAGGCUCUUUUGCUCGAAAAGAAGAAAGAUAAGAAAGUUGUGAGUUACAUUAACACGGGAAGAAGGCUUAAAAGACAGGCCGCGGGAGUCAAGUUUGGAAUUCCGAAUGGUCCAGAAGAGGAGCCGGAGAAUGAUUCAGAGGAGGAGAAUGUUGAUUUCUCCAACCCUGAGGAUGACGAUGAAGAUUAUGAAAAUGAACAGUACUCUCCGAGAGAUGAUAAAUACAAGUUGCUGGAAGAACGUAUGCUAGCCAUGGAGGGUCAGAAGGCGCCCGGUCUGGAUUUCGAAAGUUUGGGUCUGGUCUCCGAUGUGACCAUUCCUCGCAAAUUCAAGAUCCCACUUACGUAAAGUACGAUUGGUGUGCGUCUCCUUGUCUCAGAUGCAUCNAUUCCUCGCAAAUUCAAGAUCCCCACUUUCACUAAGUACGAUGGUGCGUCCUGUCCUCAGAUGCAUCUGAGAGCUUAUGUGAGAAAGAUUCAGCCGCAUACCACUGAUAGGAAACUGUGGAUCCAUUUCUUCCAAGAGAGUCUGUCUGGCACACAGUUGGAAUGGUAUUAUCAGCUCGAGAGCUCUGACAUCCGCACCUGGACUGAUUUAGCAACAGCUUUCUAUAAACAGUACCAGUAUAACUCUGAACUAGCGCCUACUCGGCUACAGUUGCAGAAUAUGACUAUGGGAUCCAAAGAAAGCUUCAAGGAAUACGCUCAGAAAUGGAGAGAUUUGGCUGGCAGAGUCAAACCCCCUAUGACGGAUCGAGAAUUAGUGGACAUGUUCAUGGGCACACUGACUGGACCAUUCUACAACCAUCUACUGGGAAGUUCUUCAUCAGGUUUUACUGAACUUAUAUUGACAGGUGAGCGUGUUGAAAACGGCAUCCGAAGUGGAAAGAUACAGGCGGCUACCUCUGCAAGCACCAAAAGGUCCUAUCAGGGGAGGAAUGAAUCAAAUGCUGUGUACUGUAACACCCUUCUAAAAUACCCCAAAUAUUUAAUAAAAAAAAAUAAUAAACAUAUAACAAUUCAGAGUAAUUAUGCCAUUCAAGAGUGUCACACAUAAUAUUCACAACAUUCAACCAUAUAACGGUCAUGCUCUUUUAUUUAGAUCACCUGAGACAAAUAGAAAGGAAAUACCGCGUAAUAUCUAAUAAAAUGAAGUAAAUUGAAAUAAAUAAUAAUAUAAUUUAAUUGAAUUAAGUCCUAAAAUAUGAUAUAAUUUCAUGUUAUCAACAGAUAAUAAUUUGACAGUAACAUUCUGACAUCAGGAUAUCUCUUAACCAGAAUCUCAAUCGAGAAUGUACCCUGCAUAUGGAUAAACAUGAGUUAGAUGCGGAUGAAUGCAAAAUGGGAAUGAUGUAGAUGCAUGAAUGCAAGUCACUGUGCCAUCCUCCAAGUCAUCUGAACAUCAACUGUACUGGAUUACGGUCUCGGAACUGAUCACAACCAUCUGAGGUACUGAGUAACCGUAAAUCCAACUCGGGAGGUUCCGAAAUAAACGGAACUAGAGGAUAUAUCACCAUCAUCACCAGAAAACCACUGAACGGAUAACCACAACAUCAUCUGAAUCGACCCAAGGAAUCCUGAAAUAAACGGAUCCCCACUGAUAAAUAUCACGGACAGAACUCCGGCGUCUCAGAAAUAAAUAUCCAUAAUCCAACUGAACCCGAGUCACCAUCAAAAAGUCACCAACAGAAUCUGCAUCUGUAGGAAUCAACCCUCCCCUCACAGGUGAAUUCUAAUAAGGUCAUCCUAAGACGGAUAAUGGUCUCGACAAUCGGGCAAAAUACUCAACGGGUUUGCCCUUUCGGGUGUGUCGCUGCAGCUCUCAUAAGAUCAUCCAAACCAAAGAUCCGGGAAAGAACGGUCACCGAAGUCAACAGAUCAAAAGAGGUAACCCAACCAAAGUGGACUACUCCACCCGGAAGGACUCUCUCAGAUGAACCUCGUCCGACUUGUGGUAUGUCACGUCGCAACAACAUGCUGAUCCAACAUGUGAGGAAACGUGAGACCAUACUAAUCCUAGGUGUAUACUCGGGCCUGGGUUUUAGCCCCACUCAGAACACCCACCCCAAAUCAAAGGAACCACACCUGUCCAGAAUCCAGCACAGUAAUAAUAUGAUGCAUGCAAACAUAUCUGCAAAUAUAUACAGUCACAGUAUAAUAAUCAUGAAUGCAAUAAAUAAGCAGUAAAAGCAACCAAAACUAUCCUAGAGAGCGCUAGGAUAGACUCGCUUAGGGAAAAUGGACCAGCAAGAGGUCAACUUCUGUAGUUCCCAGCAGAGUCGCCAGCUGUCGCAACGCGAAAAACAACCGGCGAAAAAAAAACACAGAGCCGCCACCGUGCGUUAUUUAUCCCAAAUGAGGGAAAGGAAACACUCGAAGUAAACCUGAAAAAGGGAAAGGAAUGGUCUUACGACCAGAGAUUGUAAGGUACGGGAGUCGGUUACGCAAGGGGAAGGUAUUAGCAUCCCUCACGUCCGCCGUACUCGACGGGAUCCAUGCUCAACAGGAUAGGAAAAAGUUGCUGAUAAACUGCUCAAAGAAUGCACACACACUGGAAUAAUAAAGCAGGCGGAAGAAGACGGAGGAAGGGGACUCGGCAGGAUAUCGCAUCCUAGUCCUACAUAGUUUAUCAGAAACAAACAUCAGAGUCAACGUAGUUUGGGGAAAUUGAGAACGGGCUCGCUAGGAUAUCGCAUCCUAUGCCUACGUAUCUCAUCUGGAAUGAGAAUCAGAGUUGUCGUAGUUCGGCUAACGCACGCCGAAACAAAACACAACACAAAGACGCUGAGACGUCAAAAGAAACACACAAACGGAAAUAGACUGCCAAUGGCUGGUCUUACGUCCGACUCCGAACAACAAACACAAACAAGGAAACGGAAUGCCAAUGGCUGGUCUUACAUCCGACUCCAAACACAUGCAAAAAGGUUAUCAAACAGACAAGCUAAUAGGGAGUCUGGCACUCGAGCCUAAUAGCUGUCACACAAACACCAAGAAGAUGCUAAGCCGUCAGAAGAAACAAAGAGAUUGAACACACAGACUAAAAGGGAGUCGGGAACUCGGACCUAAUAGUUGUCAAGCAAAACACACACAAAAAGAAAAGAGGGUGAACAAAACACACGCAAAAACAAAAAGGGUGCCCGGAGAGAUCUCGCACGAUCUCCUGCCUACGUAUCUCAUCUGGUAUGAGGAUCAGGGCGACGUAGUUCCCCUUAACAGGGGAGAAAUUCUCCUAACCAGAGACCAAGGGAAUAACGAACUAAAAGGGAGACUGACUUGAGCCUAAUAGUUGUCAUGCAAUCCACAAUAGUCCUAGGUUGAGGUAUCUAAACAGAACCUAACUCGCACAGGAAGCAAGUUGAAACAGCAAAUAAAUAGCAAGUAAACAUCACAGGUGAACAGGUAAAUAGCAAGGAGACGUUCGACUAUGCAAAUCCCUUCUACUGCCAAUCGCCUCUUCACUUAGGAGUCUAACAAAGUAACAACACACAAAAGUAACAACACAAGUCAUGCCUCUUAAGGAGACUUCAGCCAAAUGCCUGCCCAAACAGAAAUACAGGGUUCCAGCACAUGGAGUUAGAGAGGGUUACCUAAUGGUAUGCCAACCAUACAACAAGCAAAGCUCAAGCAAGAGUUAAACAGCUAAGGUUACCUGUUAUGAAAAGUCUAAACACUCAGUAUUCUAUUCAGCAAACAUAACCAACAGAAAGCACAGUCGACAUUCCCAAUAUGUACUAAAUGUAACCAUAGAGGCAAACCCAAGUGAUUCACCACAAAGGACCUACAACGNNNNNNNNNNNNNNNNNNNNNNNNNNNNNNNNNNNNNNNNNNNNNNNNNNNNNNNNNNNNNNNNNNNNNNNNNNNNNNNNNNNNNNNNNNNNNNNNNNNNCCCUCGGGUUAUUGGUGAUUGCAGAUUAUGCAAGAGAUAGAAUAGAACGAAAAAGCACAUCGGGAAUUGCCAGCUUCUGGGAAACAAUCUAAUCUCUGGCUAGCAAAAGCAGUCAACUAUUGCUCUAUCACUGCAGAAAGCAGAAUACAAUCUCAGCAUCACUGUGCACAAACUCAGAUGCUCUGGAUGAAGCAUCAGCUAGAAGAUCUUCAGAUAUUUGAAGAACAUUCUAUCUUUGUGGAUAAUACUGCUGCUAUUUGUUUAAGUAAGAAUCCCAUUCUACAUUUCCAGAGCCAAACACAUAGAAAUAAACAUCAUUUAUCAGAGGACUAUGUUCAGAAAGGAAUGUAACAUUGAAGUUCAUUGAUACAGAACAUCAAUGGCAGAUAUUUUACUAAGCUCUAGCGUGAAGAUAGAUUUCUUUUAUCUUAGAAAAUCUGAAUAUUAAAAAUUGCCCUGAGUGAAAAAUGGCUCUGAAAAUGUAAAUGUGACUCUGAUGUAACAAAUGUACUUCUGCUCUGACUCUGAUACUUCUACAAGUUAAGAAGAUAUCUGAGUUAGAAAUCUUCAGAAAACCAUCCUUGGUAUCCUGAAGAUCAGAUACAUCAAACGUGGAGCUCUAAACGUCUUAACCCUAGAACUCUAGACAGCUGUCAAAAGAAAUCAAAGGUCAGAUCGUUUGAAUCUCCUAGAGCAGUGUGCGUACUGUUGGGAUUAGACAUCAUUUAUUAGCUGUAAUCAUUUUCCCCCAACGUGCUAUUUUGAUUUUUGUGCUAAGCUGGAAUGUGUGUCGUUUGCAGUUUUUUACUUAGAGUAUAUAAACACUUUCUCUCACUUUUCAACUUAUCACUCUCACUCACUCUCUAAAACCUAACCCUAUCUCAAAGCAUUCUCUGCAAGUUUUCAUCAAUCUUCAUCUUCUUCUCAUGGAUGCUCAACACCAGAAGUUUUAACUUCUCUCAACAGAUGAAUCAAGUUCUAAUCCCAAACUCAAACACCUCAAACACCAACGCGUUACUGGUGUCACCAUACCCCUGUUUACAAAGAACCUCACGUUCUUGACCGUGAACGCCACAUUAACCUUUCAACCCCUUUGAAGGCUUGGAUGUGUUGUGCGAAUCGUUGGUUGAUUUCGACAACCUAGAAGAAAAUCGCGUUGAUCUAACUGGAGAACUGCGUCAACAAGGUGGGAGAACUAUUUCAAAGGUUGUAUGGUCCAAUUUACCCACUUCUGGUCAAGGAGUUCUGGAGACAUGCAGAUGCAGAUGACAACUUCAUCGUCUCAUUUGUUUGGGGAGUAAGAUAUUAUCACAGAAGGAUCCAUUGCCUCUCUGUUGAAUAUGGAAAGAAGUGAGGAAAAAGGAUCUACAACAUUCCUCCUAGGUCAAAGCGCAUAACAGAUGUGAUAAACCCAACAAUCUUCAAACCAAAUGUUGAAGGAAACCCAUCUAAGAACAAGGAGCUACACCAGAACUCAGAGUGUGGCUGAAGAUUAUUCUGGGAACUAUCCACCACCGUCCAGCCUCCAACUCUUCUGAUUACAUUAAUGCAGACCAGAAAAUGCAUUCUGUACUGUAUUCAGAAGGGUGUGAAGAUCAAUCUCCCUGCUCUCCUUUUCAGUAUCUGAGAGUUCAAUCAGAGAGACCAGGAAUAACAUGAAGCCCAGAUCCUACAUUCCUCUGGGAAGAUUGCUAUCUGACGUCUUCAUGAGCAUGGACUGGUAGAUGAGCUGGAAAAGACAAGUUGAUGGAUGAUCUGGCAAUUGAUGUUGGGGAAGCCUCUGAAUGCCAGAAACCUCAAGAGUAUGGGGAUAAUCAAGAAAAUACAAGUCAGGCCAACUCUGGAUACAACCUGGGAUAGUUUGAAAGAUCAGAGGAAGAUGCCUCAUGGCCUUGCUAGAUUCUUCAAGAACGAACCCAGAGACGCUGUUGCUAUCUAUCUUCAGCGUCUGCUGGAUGAUGGUAUUGACAUCUCUGAAGGAGAUCACUUUCAUGUGCUCAUUCAACACUUUUACUUAUCGAAGAUUCUUCUUUGAUCCUGGAAUACAAGGAAAAUGCACUAAUCAAAAUUUCAAGGUCAAUCGACAAUAUCCAAAGCUACUCCAUGAGAACCCGACUUUGGAAGAAGAUAUUGUAGAAGAGCUCUCUUUGGGAAAUGCUGCUUAUGCAAUCAUUUAUCUGCCUUGACUCCUCGGGUGUGUUCUUUCCUUUCUCUCACUCUUAUUUUAUAUUUAUGCUCUUUCAUUGAGAACUAUGUUUUAAGUGUUGGGGAGAGAACCAUUUAUUUGUUUUGUUUUCAGUUUUUCUCUAUUUUGGUUUUGGUUUGCUUUCUUAAAAAAAAUUGCAUGCUUUUUUCUUUGAUUUUUGAGUUACAAUUAUGAGUAUUUUUCUUAGUUCUCUUGACUAAAGUCUUGUGGUGUGAUGUGAAAAAAUUGUUGUGCAUUUUUAGUAUGAUAGAUAGGACUAAACUCUAAAUUUUAUAUCAUUUGUGGUAGAUCAAUUAACCUUGUGAGAUUUUGAGCCUUAUAUGGAUAACAUACAAAAAUUCAUCUCUUUCUUUCUUGUGUGAUUCACUCAUGUCUGUUAGUCUCUAGAACUUGAAUUGACUUUGGAUAACAUACAAAAAUUCAUCUCUUUCUUUCUUGUGUGAUUCACUCAUGUCUGUUAGUCUCUAGAACUUGAAUUGACUCUUGUUGAUGUUGUUGUUUACUUGUGCACACUGAUAUGAUAAAGACAGUUUUGUUUUUUGUUUUUUAGCCAGUUAGCCAAGAAGCCAACCCUGAAAUAAUAUCAUCCCUUGUUUGAAACCCCCUUGAUCCUAUUAUCCUUUUUUUGUUUAAAACUCAUUACAAACCGAGAAGUGAAAAACAAUGUUAUAUCACCCUAUUUAAAGGGUUGAAAGAGUUUUGUUUGGAGUUGUGUGGGGUUGAAUAAUUAUGUUUGUAAUAUUUCAGAAGUUGGUAGAAAAAGAAAAAAAAUAGAAAAGAAAAUAAAUGAAUGAAAAAAAAAUAGAAGGAUGUAUACAUGUCAAUACACACUCCUUAUGAAAAAAAAAUGAAAAAAAAGAGAAAGGAGAAGAAAAAAAUGAAUGAAAACAGUUACUAUAGAGUUGUUGAAGUGAAUGAAAUAUUUCGUAAAUUGAACUCCCACAGUUUCUUUCAAAUCUCUUUUGUCUCUUUGAAUUUUACCUAGUACCCCUUAGGAUUUAUCUCACCCUUACCUUGGUCACAUUAUAACCAAAUAAAAGUUCUUUUGAUCGUUGUGUGCAUGUAUUUAAAUUGUGGAUGUUAGAGUCUUUUCAAGCUUAUGAUAGUACUAACUUUCAGGUUGUUCUUUGAGUGUAAACAGUUAACCUAAGCACUUAAGAGUUGAGUGAAUUUUAUCUUGUGAGGACCUUACUACUUUUGGAGGUACUCUUUGGUAAUCUAUUUUCCUAUCUUCUUUGAAUGUCACAAGAAGUUGCUCACUAACACCAUAUUCUUGAAGUUUAGACUUAGAAUUAUGCUUGUACCUUGUAUCUUGAUAAACUUUAGAAUUGCAUGUUUUGUUUGUUCUUGUUUUUUUCUGUUUUAAGUUUUGAAUUUAUAAUUUUGCUCGGAGUGCAAAAGUUCAAGUGUGGGAGAAUUUGAUCAAUGUAUUUUGAUACAUAUUCUUCUACUAUUCUUCUUAGGCAACUCUAUAGUUUAUUUCAUUAUUUUUACUAUUUUAGUGUGUUUUUAUAUUUAAGUUUAUUUUUUAUUUUAUUUUAUUUUCGUACUUUAUUUUCAGCAUAAAUAGUUAUUUCAUACCUUGUUAGUAUUUAGAUCAUAACUUGAGCUAUGAGGAUCAGAUUGAUGCGUUCUAAUAUGAGUUGGAAAGCUGAGAGGAUAAGAUAAAAGUUUCAUGUUGAAGUCAAAAGUUGAUUCUAAGUGAAGGAGGUUCGAAUAAUUCGUUGAAGUUCCAGACUUAAUUAAAAUAGUUAGUUUGGACUAGUUUUUGUAAUUUUCGGUUCGGAUCCUAUAAGGGCCCGAAUUUACCUUUUAUUAUAUUAGGUCUUUCACUACUAUAGUAAUCCUAUUCUGAAUUUUGAUGAUACAAUAUUUCUUAGAAGAUUUCAUGGAGAACUAAAGUUCACAAGGUUGAUCUGUUGUAAUCGGUUUCCGCCGAUACUUUGAGGUUUCUUAAUUUUCAAUCAAAUAUUUUUUCCCUUUCAAUAUUGUGUUCUAUAUCUUGUAUGCUUUAUUCAAGUUCUAUAGAAUAUGUGUUGAUUAAUUUUGAUUGAUAUAUGUUCAUAUAAUCACAUUUGCUUAAUUCGCAUGUGCUUAAUCUGUUUGCUUAAUUCAGAAUCUGUUUGCUUAAUUCAGAAAUUAGGAACACAUAUCAUAUAUUAGUAUUAAUGCACUUGUUAUUGUUACUGUAAUUGAAAAGGGAUUAGAAUCCGCUUAGGGCAUGAAAAUUAUAUUAACCAAUGAUAAGUUAGGAAACCAAAUCAGUAGAUCAACUUAUUUUAUAAUCACUUUUCAUAAUCACUUUUUAUAAUCACUUAUUCUAAAUCGAAUCUAAACUCCCCCUAUUUUGUUUUCAUACUUGGUUAAUUUGCCAAGAGUCAUUGCGAUACGAUACUCGAGGUAUCGCUUUCUGUUUACUAUAUAUUAUUACUCGUUUUUGACCCGUGUGCGACAGCGGAUCAAAUUAAUGUGUCGAAAUGUCGAAGCAUGUUGUUUCACACAAAAUUUUGACUUAGGCUUAUUUUAGUAGUGUUAACUAUUUUGGGUUUUUAUAGUUUUGGGCUUUGGCUUGAGGUCCAAGUUAACCUAAAUCUAUAAAUAGAGGGAGUAACCCUUAUUUUUGUAAAGAAGUGAAUAUAGUAUUCAUAACAUUUGUAAUUCACAGUAUUUUGUAAUUGCAAAGUGAAUAAGAAGUUUUCAAUAGUGUGUGGACAGAGAGAAACUCUGCAUAAUUUAAUUUUUCUUCUCCUUUAUCAUUCUUUACACUCUUUCUUUCUCCAUUGUUCUUUCUUUUCAUUGUUAUUAUAUGGGUGAUGACAAUCUUGUUCAUCAAGAUUGAUUGAAAUUCUCCAUAGGUUUUGGUGGAUUUUUAACAAUAAACUUAUUUAAAAAAUCAGUUGAGAAAACUAUUUAUGUUAAUGACUUACAAGAAGAAAUUAAGAAUUUAAAAAAUGAAAUUCAAACUCUAAAAAUUCGGGAUGAUGAGAUAGAACUUAAACUUUUAGAAUUACAAGGUCACAUGAUCAUUCAAAAUCAACAUAUGUUAUCCUCUUCUAGUAAGAAACAUGAGGAAACUAAUGAAGAAGUUAUUGUUUCAACCAAUGAAGAUCCUUAUAUCAAUACAAUAGAAAAGAUGAUAUCUCACGAAUGGUAUAGUAAAAUGAAUCUUAUUAUUUAAGAUAAUUUUUUUGAACUAGUUGCUUUAAUAGACCCAGGGGCAGAUUUAAAUUGCAUUCAAGAAGGGUUAAUCCCAACCCAGUAUUAUGAGAAAACCAAAGAAUCCUUACGAGGAGCUAAUGAUAACAGAUUACAUAUGUCAUAUAAAUUAUCCAACGCUAAGAUCUCUAAAGAUCAAAUCUGUUAUAAAACUUCUUUUCUUCUAGUUAAAAAUAUUCAAGAAGUUAUUAUUAUAGGAACCCCUUUCCUGGCUUUAAUUUAUCAUUCUAUCGUUGAUAACCUAGCUAUAACUACUAAUGCUUUAGGUCGUGAAGUUAAGUUUGAAUUUUUAGACCAACAUAGGAUUAUAGAUCUUAACUCUGUCCAGAGUAAAGAUAUAUCUUUUAUUAAUAUUAUUAAUAAUAAAAGAAAACAUGUUAAUUUCAUAACAAAGAAAUAUAUUUUAAAAGGAUACAAGGACAGUUGCAAUCUUCCCGUGUUCAAGAAAAAAUUAAAAUUAUGCAAAAUAAGAUUACUAAAGAUCUUUGUUUAGAACGGCCUAAUGACUUUAGUAAAAGGAAAAUACAUACUAUUUCUUUGCCUUAUGAGCCCGACUUUAAAGAAAAAGAUAUUCCAACUAAAGUCAUGCCUAUAUAGACGAAUAAACAACAUUUAGAUUAUUGUAAAAAAUAAAUACAAGAUUAUUUCGAAAAAGCUUUAAUUAGGCCAAGUAAGUCUCCUUGGAGCUGCUCUGCGUUUUAUGUUGUUAAUGUUGCUGAAUUAGAAAGAGAUAGUCUCCGAUUAGUAAUAAACUACAAAACUUUAAACAAAGUUUUAUAAUGGAUUAUGUAUCAUAUACCUAAUAAAAAAAGAUUUAAUUAACAAAUUACAUCAUAUAAGUAUAUUUUCUAAAUUUUACCUUAAAUCUGGAUAUUAUCAAAUUCAAUUAGAAGAAAUCAAUAAAUAUAGGUCCGCUUUUGUAGUAUACCCUUUGGGCACUAUGAAUGAAUUUUUUUCCCUUAGGGCUUAAAAACGCCCUCUCAAAAAUUCAAAAUACAAUGAAUUCUAUUUUUGAUGAUUACUCUCACAUUACUAUAGUCUACUUAGAUGAUAUUUUAGUUUUCUCAAACUCCAUUAAUCAACAUUUACAACACCUUAAUCGGUUAUAUGAAAUAAUUAAAGAUAAUGGUUUAGUUUUGUCCGAAGAGAAAUUAAACUUAUUUCAAAGUAAAGUAGGAUUUUUGGAUUUUGGUAUUAGUUCGUGCAUGUACACCCCUAUUAGUAGGUCCUUAGAAUUUGUUAGUAAAUUCCCAGACGAAUUAGAAGACAAAACUCAGUUACAAAGGUUUUUAGGCUGUCUUAAUUAUGUUUCAGACUUUAUUCCUAAUCUUAGAACUAUUUGUCUUCCUUUAUUUAAGAGACUUAGAAAGAAUCCCCCAUCUUCCAUGACCAAAAGUGUCACCCAAUUAAAACAAAUAGUUAAGAUAUUACCUUGCCUAGGAAUCUUUGAUCCAAAUGCUAAUCUUAUUAUUGAAACAGAUGCCUAAAAACUAGAUUUGGUGGCAUAUUAAAACAACUACUUCCGGGCAAGGAUAAGGAACAAGUUGUCAGAUAUUACUCUGGAACAUGGUCUUCAGCCCAAUUAAAUUAUAGUACUAUUAAGUAAGAGAUUUUAGCCAUUAUUUUAUGUAUUACCAAAUUUCAAGAUGAUUUAUUUUCAAAAUCAUUUUUAUUAAAAACAGUCUGCAAAGCUGCUAAGAGCGUUUUAAAGAAAGAUGUUAAAAAUUUGGUUUCAAAAUAUAUUUUUGCUAGAUGGAAAUCUUUGCCAUCAUGUUUUGAUUUUGAAAUAAAACAUAUUUGAGGAAUUAAAAAAAAUUUACCAAAUUUUUUAACUCGAGAAUUUUUACAGGGUAAAAAGGAGCAAGAAAUAGAAUGAUCCCAUAGAUAAUUAUGGACCUCCAUUAUCAUCAAAUAAUAAAGACAUAAUUUUAUAAUCACCUUCAUAUAUUACAAAGAAUACUUCUCCAAUACCUUCUUCCCCCGGACCUUUGAUUAAGCUUGCAUUAUCAUCUCCAUUAUCUUUUACUCAGAGAAUUACUACUUCCCCGUCUUCUCAAAAUAAAUCCACUUCAAAAUUAGCUUUUUACACUCCUCAUGUCGUAUCCUAAAAUUUGUCCUCCCCUUUUUACUUUUCAUCUGACCUGAAUUUAUCUGUGCAUAUUCAUACUUCAUUCAUACGCAUUCACGCUGAUAUUGGUUAAUCCAUAUAUUCAAAGCUGGUAACUGAUUGAAACCUUAUCUGACCUGAAUUUAUCUGUGCAUAUUCAUACUUCAUUCAUACGCAUUCACGCUGAUAUUGGUUAAUCCAUAUAUUCAAAGCUGGUAACUGAUUGAAACCUUAAUCUAAUACAAACGGUUGAUUGAGGUCAUUGGUUGACUUUCUGGUCAACCAUUCGACCAAAGUCAACCAUUCAUCCAUUUUGUAUCUCAACUUUAGUAACAUUGAUCAUCCUUCAUGUCCGUUCGACUCAUUUCAUUCAUUAUGUCCACCUAGGUCUUAUGAUCGAUCCCACAUGGGUUUUUAUUUCAAAUUAAUCUUAAUUAGAGUUUGAUUCUUUAAUCAGAUUCUUUUAUUUCAUUUUUAAAUGACUCUUUAUUUUCAAAUUAAAUUUUUAAUUGAUUGUGAAAUCUCAAUUUGAUUUUUAAUUGAUUUUAAAUUGGUUUGGAUUUAAUUAAAUUUUAGAUUUUUUUAUUUGAUUUUAAUAUCAAAUUAAUGGUAAUUUUAAUUUAACUUUAGAUUUUGCUAAGUUGAAUUUAAUUAAAUUAGUUUGAUUAAUUUUAAUUGGAUGUUAGAUUAAACUGAUUUUAAUACAAUAAUCCAAAUAAUACAUUUCAAUCUCAUAUCCAUGUCCACUUUCAUAAUAACCAAUGUCCGAAAAUUUUACCUUAUACCCCUACAUUUAUCCUUAUACCCCUACAUUUUAUAAAAAAUAUCUAUUUUAUCCUUAUAUAUUUUAAAUAAUUUAUCAUUUUAUUUUUUAAAUAUUUUUUAAAUUUUAUUUUACAUACCGGAAGACUUUGUAAAAGAAUUCCGGUAGUCAUUUUUCACGUAUUUUUCAAACUUUUUUUUGUGUACCGGAAGUCUUUACAAAAGAGUUCCGGUACACAAAAAUUGACUACCGGAACUCUUUUACAAAGUCUUCCGGUAUAAAAAAAAAAUCAAAAAAUGUUUGAAAAAUGAAUACCGGAACUCUUUUGUAAAGUCUUCCGGUUCACAAAAAUUGAUUACCGGAACUCUUUUGCAAAGUCUUCCGGUACACAAAAAUUGUUUUAAAAAAAUAUUUGAAAAUGACUACCGGAACUCUUUUGUAAAGUCUUACGGUACAUAAAAUUUGACUACCGGAACUCUUUUGCAAAGUCUUCCGGUACACACAAAAAAUGUUAAAAAAAUAUUUGAAAAAUGACUACCGGAACUCUUUUACAAAGUCUUCCGGUACACAAAAAUUGACUACCGGAACUCUUUUGCAAAGUCUUCCGGUACAUAAAAAAAAUAUUAAAAAAAUACUUGAAAAAUGACUACCGGAACUCUUUUGCAAAGUCUUCCGGUACACAAAAAUAAAAUUUUAAAAAUAUUUAAAAAAUAAAAUAAUAAAUUAAUUAAAAAUAUAUAAGGAUAAAAUUGGUAUUUUUUAUAAAAUGUAGGGGUGGAAGGAUAAAUGUAGGGGUAUGAGGUAAAAUUUUCCCAAUNNNNNNNNNNNNNNNNNNNNNNNNNNNNNNNNNNNNNNNNNNNNNNNNNNNNNNNNNNNNNNNNNNNNNNNNNNNNNNNNNNNNNNNNNNNNNNNNNNNNNNNNNNNUACCGGAACUCUUUUGCAAAGUCUUCCGGUACACAAAAAUUGUUUUAAAAAAAUAUUUGAAAAUGACUACCGGAACUCUUUUGUAAAGUCUUACGGUACAUAAAAUUUGACUACCGGAACUCUUUUGCAAAGUCUUCCGGUACACACAAAAAAUGUUAAAAAAAUAUUUGAAAAAUGACUACCGGAACUCUUUUACAAAGUCUUCCGGUACACAAAAAUUGACUACCGGAACUCUUUUGCAAAGUCUUCCGGUACAUAAAAAAAAUAUUAAAAAAAUACUUGAAAAAUGACUACCGGAACUCUUUUGCAAAGUCUUCCGGUACACAAAAAUAAAAUUUUAAAAAUAUUUAAAAAAUAAAAUAAUAAAUUAAUUAAAAAUAUAUAAGGAUAAAAUUGGUAUUUUUUAUAAAAUGUAGGGGUGGAAGGAUAAAUGUAGGGGUAUGAGGUAAAAUUUUCCCAAUGUCCAUAUCCAAAAGUCCAUUGUGACAACCCAAUAUACAUUUACUAAAAACCAAUUCAAUUUAAAUCCAAAACCAAUCAAGGUCCAAUAUUACAUCAAAAUAAAAUAGAAGUACAUUGGGUCACCAUUCUAGGCCCAAGCCCAUUUCCAUCACCAAGUAAUACCAGAACAAGGAAACUGAAGAAACAAACGGAGCAAUCGCUUGCUGCAACACGACGUGUAGGAAACGAGACCAAAACGCAGGUGACGGUGGCAAUAUCAAAACGACGACGAUGCAAACUCCAAACGCGAAAUGCACGAACCAACAACAGCAAACCAAUUUCCAACUACCUGCAGAAUGAAGAUUACAACAGAACUUCAAAGCCGCAACAGAAAUUUCAAUCCAUAAUCAUAAACGAAACCAAUCCAAUCUAACAAACUGCAACUAACCAAUCUAACAAACUUCAAGUAACAACAUUGUAACUCCUAACAGAUUUACACAAAGAUUUUUAACGGAAGCUAACCGAUCUAACAGAUUUAAAAUGUAUACAAGCUGGUACUGUGAUCUACUUGCGGAGAUUUUUCAUUUUUCUACAGAAUUGACACUACAACUCUCACAAUUACAUGAAUCUUCAUCACUAUCACUUCACCUUCUUCCUCUUUCCGAAUAACCACCAUGGCACAACCAGCUUCUCGCCGUCUUCUUCCUCCUUCUCCAACCAUCACCCUAACAGAACCCUGCAAAGCCAAACAGAACAUUGUUUCACCCUUCCAUAACAGAAAUCAGAGGAAGGAAGAAAGAUCGCAACAACCACGCAUCAUGGUAACAACAACAGAAUCCUAAUCAUCCACAUCACACGCGAAGAAGAGAGAAGAAGAAUAAGUGUACGUCGGAGUCGAAGAAGGAGCAUACAAAGAAGGAGGUCGUACAUGUUUUCACCGUCGCGUCGGAACCGGUAAGUUUAGCUUUAAUCCAUGAUUAACUUCUUUUUUUAAUUGCGAGAAUAGAAUGGUUCGAGUUAAAUUCUCGAUGCUCCACAAGGUCGAAUCAAUCCGCGAGGCGAAAGAUGUCGAAACGAACGCGGUGUUAUGGAGAUGAUGUUGCUGAAGCUUGAAGCGCGACUUAGGAUGCGAAGAUGACGUCGUCUUGACACGAUGGUGUUAAAGAAUCCAGACCGCGAUGAUCUAUGACAACACAAUGCAUAAGGCCGCCGUGACCACAACUCUGGAACACGACGGCGGUGAACGCACAAUCGACGAAUCCGGCGCGAGGGAUGAAUUGUGACGAAGAGGCGAACGACAUUUGUGAUGAAAGCAAGAUCAAUUUGCAUAAGCGCUUUUUCAUGCAGCUUAUAGAGAUAAUUGGUUUGCUGAUGGAGUUUUCAGGCUUGGAUUCAAUUUGGGCCUAUGGCCCAAGCAGGUUCUUUGGCCUCAUUGCACCACUCAACAUGACCUAACUUGCGCCCCCGUUUUCUACUUGCUUCAUUAUGUGCUUCCUUAUUUUUUAAUCCUUUUAAUUAUCAUCUUAAUCAACCUCUCCUUUUUAAUUGCUGAGUUUGUUUUUGUUCAUUAAAUUUAAUCAGUAGAAUAAUUAAAUUAAUUGUAUUAAUUGGAUUAACUAGAUACUAAUUAGGUUAAUAAAGUUAGAAAUUUAGAUUAAAUUAGGAUUUUAGAUUAAUUGGUUAGAUUUAGAUGUAAUUAGAAUUCUAGAACUACUUAGGUUUUUAGAAUUUGAUUAGGUUAUAAAAUCUAAAUUAAAUAGGCUUAAGUUAUGAAUAGGAUAAAUAGAUUUUAAAUUUUUAAAAAAUUAGAGUUAACGAGGUUAGUAAUUUUGAUUAGAUUUGAAUUAGAAUUUUAAUCAUAUUGACCAUUUUGCCCUUAGGGCCUAAAAUCUUGAUUUUUUUUAUGCAUGUUCCCUUAGCUUAGGGUUUUAAUUAAAAUUGUCUAAUAUCACUUAGUUAAUUUAAUAAUAUUAUUAUAUAUAAUUCAACUAUUAUUUUAAUCCCAUUGAUUAACGUUGACUAAAGGAUACUUUGGUUAACCAAAUCCUUUGUAAUCGUGUUGUAAACCCCUAGUCUAAUUCAAGUGACCAAAAGACCCUUGGUCACUCGAUAUUGAAAGUUCAUUUCGCCCAAGCUAUUAUGGAGCGCUGGAUCUCAAGAGCUCAAGAACUCAAGAUUCAAGUGCAAGAUCAAGACUUCAAGUCAACAUCAAUCAAGUAUAGCUAGCAAAGUGGACUACUUCUCAAGCACAACAAAGGUGUCAACACUUGGUCAAUACGAUUCAAAUUGUAUGAAACGAGCCUUAAGUAAUAGGGAAUGACGAGACGGAGUCUCUCCUAUCCUCGUCUAGAGCGACUUUGCGUAUGGGGAGUAGGCCCCAUAUAUUCAAAGCGUUCGCCCUUAUUCAUAAACUUUAGUGCAAUUUGAAUCGAUUAAACUACCAAGUCUUCUUCACACAAAUCAACAUCAACACAAGGGUCAACAAUGAAGAUUCUUCACCAACAACUUGUCAUUCAAGAGAAAUAUCAUGCGCUACUAGCCUUAAGUAAUAGGGAAUGACGAGACGGAGUCUCUCCUAUCCCCGUCUAUAGCGACUUUGCGUAUGGGGCAUAGGCCCCAAAUAUUCAAAGUGUUCGCCCUUAUUCAUAUACUUUAGUGUGAUUCUUAUCAAUUGACUAUCGAGUCUCUCUAUUCAUCUCUCCAUCCUAUUCAAUCAUUCAACACAUUCUUUUGCCUCUAAUUAUUCUUGCUUUCAGCCCUAGUGGGUUGAACUACGAAAGCUCUGAUUUUCUUAUUGCACUAUAAGGAUACGUAGGCAGGAGAAUUCUGAUUCUUUGCGAGCUACCUUAUCUAUUGCUAUCUUAUUUAUCAAUCUAUCAUAUCGAUCGAUCGAUCUUUCAACACCUCAAUGGUGGAGCAUCUUUUGCUAUUAGCAACUCGUGGUUGUACACCCUUUUCCAAUCAAUUCUUUUCCUUGUAAGGUGUUAAGCCUUGGCACAUCCUUCGCCUUAUAAGGUUUUAAACCUUGGUACAUUCUUUUCCUUGUGAGGUGUUAAACCUUGGCUAUCCGAUUUUGAUCUUCGCCUUGAGAGUCAUAGACUCUGGCAUCUAACUCCCUUUGCCUUGUGAGGUGUUAAACUUUGGCUAUUCGAUUUUUAUCUUCGCCUUAAGAGUCAUAGACUCUGGCAUCUAACUCCCUUUUCCUUGUGAGGUGUUAAACCUUGGCUAUUCGAUUUUGAUCUUCGCCUUGAGAGUCAUAGACCCUGGCAUCUAACUUUAUUUACCUUGUGGGGUGUUAAACCUUGGCUGCUCAAUUCAGUUCUCCUCCUUGAGAGUCAUAGACUUUGGCACGUUCUUUGCCAUGUGAGGUGUUAAACCUUGGCUAUUUCUAUUCGAUUAUUCGCCUUGAGAGUCAUAGACUCUGGCAUAUCUAUUCUAUGUUACCUUGUGAGGUGUUAAACCUUGGUUAUUCAAGUCAAUUCUCAGCCCUGAGGGUCGUGGACUCUGGUACUUGAUUCUAUUCGCCCUGUAGGUGUUAAACCUUGGCAAUUCAAUUCCUUGACAUCAUCAGUUAUAAACUCUGGUAGUGAUGCCUUAUGUCAUACCCCAAAUUUUCUCCCACCUAAAGACAUUCAUCCAUAUUUCAGUUAUCCGUAUUCACUAGUUUGCAUCCGUUCAUCUGCACGAAUCUACCUCUAUGAUUCAUUAGGUAGUUAAUCUGCAUCAUGUCUCAUGCUCAUUACAUAUGUUUAAGAUCCCAUUUCCGUGCAUGGAUUAUAAUUAAUUAAUCAAUGAGUAAUUAGUCUUGUUUGUCUCACUUUGCUAAGACUAGUGCAUACAUCCUUAUCAUGCGUACAUUUUUCCUUCAUACGUCAUUUCGUUCGAUUUAGAAACAUUUGUGAAUCCCACACCAUUUGAAUCUACCAUCUACAUCGCAUUUCCAUCUUAAUGAAUAAAUUUUAUUUCGUGAAAUAUCUAACUUUCGUUUGGAACAUAGAUAUGAUUAAUAAGGACGAAAAUUUCAUGGUAUGAAUCAUGUUAUUCAUUUUUCAAAGCAAAAAUUCAAAACAAAAAGAGGUUCACAACGUUGAACAUUUUAAUUUCACUUUGAUCUUGAAUAUUUCUUUUUGUUUUUUAUUAUUUUUCUUCUCACCCAUAUUAAUUCAAGAUGGCCCCAAAUGGCACGUUAUAUUCGGUCAUAAUUUUCAUUUGAUCUCACCUUCUUCAUGGUAUGAUCCAAGGAUCUAUUUUGAACUUAAGGUAACAAGCAUGUUUUAAUAAAAAGGCUUUACAAUAUAUCAUUAUGUUACAAGAUAAAUUUAUCAAAAUAACUUGGUACAUUUAAGAUUGGUGUCACAAUUUGAUAAAAAAUUAAGGGAUGUGCAAGGUAAAAUCUUUAUUGCUACAAUUUUCUUUCCUUGCCAAAGUCACAAAAAUCUAAGUCUUCAAUUUUCUUUUGUUCUUUUCUCAAGAAGUUCAUAGUCAUUUCUCCACAUAGCCUUUUGAUGCAUCUUAAUACCUGUAAUAACAAGCAAAAAACCAUAAUUUCAAGAUUAAAAAAAAAGAGAGGAAGGAUACUAUAAGGUACUGUUGCUGUUAAAACUUUAUGGCAACAGGUUUUGCAUGUUAUAACCAAGAUGAAAGAAACACAGCAGAUUGCAGACUUAUACCGAACUGGAAGGACAUAUAAAGUAUCUCAGAAAGUUUUCCACUUUUAUUUCUAUGAAUAGAAUUCCAGCAACACCACAUUGAAAACCCUAGCCAUCCCACAGUAUAAAGGAGAAACAUAUCAACAACAAGGAUUUUUUAACAAAAAUUUCACACACAAAAAAACCUAAGUUGUUGUUACCAGAUUAAUAUAAAAGAAAAACCUCUCAGUAACCAUUCAAAUUAGGAGCAACAUAUCCAAGGCUAUUAGACUCAUACAGUGGAGACAGAAGAAGAAGUAGAAAUAACGGAAAAUAAGAGGAAAUCGAGUUACUCGGUUUCCAUCAGUGAGUUCUCAUUUGUCUUCACAUUUUCUUUGUUGUAACCUCUUGUGAUUGGUGUCGUUUUGUUGAGUAGCUUGAUUGUUGUGUUGAUUCAAGUAUCUUUUCGCAAGCAUUAUGAACCAUGUCGGAAGUUUUGUGUUGAUGAGGAAUGACGCGACCAGAGUCGUGUUUAGGUGGUCGGCCGCCGUCACGAGUACGUAAACAUUCGGAGUCGUUGGCCGCAUUGAGGUAUGCGUCACGAACGCGUGAACGGUCGGAGUCAUUGGGGCUUUUCGUCAACGCCGUCGUCGUGAGUAUGGUGCGGCCAGAAUCGUGGUCGUGUUAGGGCUACCACCAUUGAAUCCGUAUACGUCACGAACGCGUGAACGGUCGAAGUUGUUGGGGAUUUUUCGUUAACACCGCCGUUGAGAGUACAAUGCGUCCGGAAUCGCGGUCGUGUUAGGGUUACCGCCGUUGUAUCCAUGAAAGGGGUAGCCGAGAUCGUAAGAAGGUGGGAGGAGGUAGAAACCCUUGAGCGUUAAAGUAGAAAGAUUUUCGGCCAUGCGUGGAUUAGGGUUAUCUCUAAUGUUUUAUUUUUGUGUUUUAAUAAACUAGGUUCGGUUUGAAGUAAACCGACCCGCCUCACUUUGGUUUUCGGCCAUGCGUGGAUUAGGGUUAUCUCUAAUGUUUUAUUUUUGUGUUUUAAUAAACUAGGUUCGGUUUGAAGUAAACCGACCCGCCUCACUUUGGGUCGUCCGUCAUAUCCCUGGCCCAUUAUUCUUUUUUGUUGUUGAAAGUUUCGCCAGUUUCUCUAUUUGUGUACGCGGAUGCAUAUAACCUCCAACUAACCACUUCCGGCCUGGUGGUUGAGACUCCUCCUGUCUCCCACCAGGUCCUUGGUUUGAUUCCUGCCCUAAUUACUUUAUUUUGUCAUCAUUUAGAUUUAUUCCUUGUAGAUUCAUCCUUCUUUAUUUUCUUCUUCUUAUGUGAUUGUUUAAUUUAAGUUAGUCAUUUUUGUAUCUCCAUUUGAUCCAAAUUAUUCCAAAACUGUAUUUUUUUAUUUUCGGUGUUCUUAUGUGUCAAAAAGAAAAUUAUUUAUUUAUUCCUAUAUAUAUUUAUUUAUUUAUAAUCGACUUAUUUUGGAGUCCUUGUAUAUCAAGUCUUUGUGAGGGUAUCCAUUCAACUUCCUUGGAUUUCAAACUUCCACAUUCCAUCAUUAAUCAAUUUCAAUUUCUUCAAACCAUUCUCAAUUCAAAUCAUUUCAAAUAAUUUUUUUAACUAAAAUCUGAAGUACCCUGGAUAGAAUACUCAGUCGUAAUCCCGAAUAUUAGGCCCAAGCUAUAAGAGCUUGUAAGCCAUAAGUAUUCACCUUCUCUUCAAAACACUCCAAUAUUCAAAUCAUUUUCAUAAGUGAAUCCGAAGAAAAAGAUUACCUGGAUGAAAUAUCCAGUCAUAAUCCCGAAUAUUAUACCCAAGUUGUAAGAGCUUGUAAGCCCAGUGUAUUCGUCUUCUCUUCAAAACACUCCAAUAUUCAAACCAUUUUCUUAAUUAAAAUUGAAAGAAAAAGAUUACCGGGGUGAAAGGACCAGACGUGGUCCCGAGUAUUAGACCCAAGUUGUAAGAGCUUGCAAGUCAUAAAUACUCGUCUUUCAAGCCCAAAAAUACAUUCGACCAAUCAAACUCUUUUUUUCUCCGUCAUGCGAUUAAUCAGAAAAAACCUUUUCAUAAACGAAAGACAUCUUGUCUUAAAAUGAUGUGAAGCAAUGCUUCAUCCAUAAUUGUUGAGUUGAGAUAAGUGAUGUUUCCGAAUGUUGAUUUGUAAAUCCAUUUGAUGUGAUGUAUAUGUCCAUUCCUCAUCUGUUUUGGGUAAAAUAAUAUUUCUCGUUGAUUAAUAAAAGAUAACUUUCGCUAAAAUCGACCAAAAAACAAACAUUUUCUAUCCAGAACUACGUAAGCCUUGAAUUCUCUAUUGCAUUCGGAGAUACGUAGGAGUAGGAUUGCGAAAUCUUGUUAGGCCCAUUAAUAAAAAACUUAGGUUUAGUCCCAUUCGUUGCAAAAAAUCCAAAAACAUCUUCUAUUUUCUUUUGAUCAUAUUACUCUAUCCCACCUAAAAACUUGAGAAGCCUAACAUUUCAAACUAAUACUAACGCGCACAACUAACCUAAUGUUUCCCGUUGAGUACAACGGAUGUGAGGGAUACUAAUACCUUCCCCUUACGUAAUCGACUCCCGAACCCUGAUUUGGUUGCGAUGACCAAUAUCAUUGUCGUUCUUUCUUGGGUUUUACCGAUAUUUACCCUUUCCUUCUUUAGGAAUAAAUAAAGUUUGGUGGCGACUCUAUUCAGUCCAUCCUUGCAAGCGUGCGAUUGCGCUUCGCUAGGUCGUGUUCUCAUUUUUCGAGGUGCGACAGAUGGCGACUCUGCUGAGGAGGAUAUGAUUUUCCUAAGUGAUUCAAGCCUAGUUAGGUCAUUUUUGUGCCUUUGUUUGUUUACUUGUAUGGCUUUUCUUUAUUGCUUUUGCUAUUUUUAUUGUCAUAUUGAUAUAAUCUAUUGUAUUAGUUCCAUUUUACUUUGGUACUUGGAUACUCUGAUUGCAAACCUUGUGGGAAAGAAUUUUUACCCGAGUCUCGAGUAAAAACAUAAGAUAGGACGAGGUUGAGUAGUGUGGGUCCGCGAGAUGAAUUUCUCAUCGGGUCAAUGCGAGAACCUUACUUAGAGUAGAUCCUUGGGAGGAUGUUGUCACCCGGCAAGUAAGUUGCCGUAAGCUUUGAUAUUUUCUUUAGGAUCCAUGACUAUGAGGACCAUUUGUAGAACCUUAAUCCUUUGGACAACUAGGAAAGAUGGUCGCAUAGUGUGGGUCUGCGAUAUGAAUUUCUCGUUGGAUCAAUGCGAGAACCUCACUUAGAGUAGAUUCUUUAGAUAGAGUUGAUGUCCGACAAGUAAGUUGCCAAAGGCAGCAAACAGUCUAAUUGAUCCAUGACUCUAGGAACUUUUUUGAAACCCUAGACCAUACCUGGUGAGAACCCUGUUCUAUACGAAGCAAUCAGACUUAUCCAUACCUCGAGCCUAUUAAACGUAUACAAAAAAAAUGCAUCACAUUCAUCCAUAUACAUUGCAUCAACAUUAUAAAAAGCAAACUCUUAGUUGUCUCUUAUUUGUUUCGGGAAUUGAGAACUUGAAAAUGACAACUCCAAGAAGAAACACUUUCUCACUUAAGUACAAGGAACCUAAGCUUGACAGUCUGAAUGGUUUGAUCUCUGAUUUAACUCUCAGUAAACGUGAUGACUUCGGAAAAGACUAUGGGAAAAUUUUAAGCCUUCUGACUAAGAAAGUUGACUAUGGGAUUAUCAUUUCUUUGGCACAAUAUUAUGAUCCACCUCUACGUUGUUUCACAUUUGUUGAUUUCCAACUAGCUCCUACUUUGGAAGAAAUUGAGAGAAUUGUGGGUCUAAAGUUAAAACAUUUCAAUCCAUUUCCAAAGCUUGAAGAGGAAGUGUUCCCAAAGAAGAUAGCUUUAGCCCUAAGUAUUAAUGUCCCAACUGUUCUAGCCAAUUGGGUCGAGAAAGGGGGUUUCAAAGGUUUUUCCAUGAGGUUCUUGGAAGAAUUAGCUCUGAAGUUCAAGAAGGAAGGAAAUUGGAACACAUUCUAUGUUGUGUUGGCUUUAUUGAUCCAUGGGAUUAUGCUCUUCCCAAACUUUAAAAAGUUUAUGGAUCAUGUAGUCGUAGAAGUCUUUCUCUCUGGCAAUCCUGGCUGACAUUUACCAUGCCCUUCACGCUCGACAUGAAAAGAGGGGUGAAACUUUUAUAUGUUGUGCUCCUUUGCUUUAUACUUGGUUCAUGCAACAUAUGCCUGAAAAAUGCCCUUUUGUGGCAAAAGAACUUAAAUCUCCUCAAAGACUAGCUUCUCUCACUGCAAGUUCCAUUAGAUGGUAUAUCAGAGAGUGGGAAACCCUAGGCAUCAUUGUUAGUUGUGGGGAAUUUCCUAAUAUGCUGUUUUUAGGUACUAAGGGUUGCAUCAAUUAUAACCCUAUGUUAUCUCGAAUGCAACACGGCUACUCGAUGGAUGGUCCUCCUGAAUCAAAGGACUUACAACCAUUUGUGCUCUUUGACAUCCAAGCAAGUAAUCCUGAUGUAAGAGUGAUCCGAAAGGCUUGGUUGAAGAUUGUUAGGAAGGGAAAAAAGUUUGGAAAAAGAAACACUCUUGUCAAAGAACCUUACACUCGAUGGGUGAAAGAAAGAGUUGAAGAAAUCCAUUUGCCAUUUAUCUUUAAUGCUUCAUCUUUUCCUAAAAUUCCUGAGCCAAAGCCCAUACUCCCUGAGGACAUGGAGAAACUCACUGCUAAGGUUAAGGAGCUCGAGUUGGAGAAUACCGAACUACGGAUUCAGAUGAACCGAGCUGUCUUGGAAAAUCAAAAUUUGAAGGAUGAACGUAAGGGGAAAUCCCAUGAACUUGAAGAUAGUAACAAGAGAGCCAGGCUAUUGGAAGACCAGAAGGACGAUCUUGAUCAUAUCCUUAUAAGUUCCACAUCAGUGAUCUAGACCAGAAAGGAAGAGCUCAAGAAAGCUGAAUAUAGAAUUUGUAAGUUAGGAAGGAUAUUGGACAUGUCUCUUAUGGAAAAGAAAGAAAUUAAGCUCGACCUUGAGGCACAAAUCCGUGAACUGAAGGACACUAUAAAGAAAUGCAAAGAAAAGUUGUCAUGCGAGAUACUCCAAAAGGAAGAAGCUGAAAGAAACUGUCACCACCUCAAGUACCAGUUGGCCAGUCUACGAUUUACCUCCCGGUUUCAACAGCCAAGGGCACAAGCUCCACGUCCACAAAAUCUUCCAAAUCAAAAUAGGGUACAAAGAGGUAGACCUCAUUUCGCUUCAAUCCCUAUGAUGUACACUGAGUUAUACCCCUCGUUGCUACAAAAAAGGUUGGUGACUCCUAGACCUUUGGGUCCUCCACCAAAUCCUUUACCUCCAUGGUACAAUCAAGAUGCCCAUUGUCCUUUCCAUGAGGGUGCCCCUGGGCAUGAUUUAGAGGGAUGUUAUGCUUUGAAGCAUAUUGUGCGAGAGCUGGUUGAGAAGAAGAUCCUUUUCAUUC